rnacentral:lncRNA from 1 species
GGAGGGGUUAGAUAGUUGGCAUUUGCAAGCGGUAACCAAAUGCGCAUUCCAUUGAGUUUGUAUGGUGGCUGCUCUUUGCACAAGCUGUGUGCUUAUGAGGUGUUGGUACUUGUCGAGGACAGCAGGGGGGUAGCGUACUCGUGGUGUUGCACUAUGUUUUGUUUCUUUGUUUUAUUUUUGAGUGUUUGAUCUGUUUGAGCCUUUGUGAUCCGAGAAAAUAAAAAUAAUAUGAGUUACCUUUGUUAAUUAAUUUAUUAUUCAUUGUUCCAUCUAUGUGGUGAUGUAAAAUCUGUCCUCUCAAACAUGUCAAACAUUUUUUGAAAUCGUAAACAUUUUUCCAAUUCUUAAACAUUUUUUUUACAAAUUCAUGAACAUUUUUUGAAAUCAUGAAGAUCUUCUAUAAAUUCAUGAACAUUUUAUGAAAUUGUGAACAUUUUUUGAACUUUGGGAACACCUUUUGAAAUUCACAAAUAUUUUUUGUUUUUAAUAAAUCAUUUUUGAAACACAUGAACAGUUUUUGAAUUCAUGAACAUUUUUUGAAUCAAUGAUCAUUUUUUGAAAUUUGAAAUUUGAGACGCCAUGCCAUACUGAGGGAGUAUGUUAGUUAUUUUCGGUAGAUCCCUCGAUAGGGUGUAUUGGCUAGACGAGUAUAUCAAAUGGAAAAUAGACAAGGAUUACCCAUGUUUAUGUCUUCACGGAGGAGGUAAAACCCUAUUUCUUGCUCUUGUAUAGAGGUUUACAAAGAUCGAGGGAUUGAGCAAUAGGUCUGAGGUUCUGUAUCUAAUCGAAUAUUCUAACCCCAACGUAUAUGGGUACCGGGAUCUAGGGUUAGAUAAUACUAGUUGGUUGGAAGGUAUAUGGGUACCAGGAUGUAGGGUUACAUCACCCCAACGUAGGUCGGUCCUGCCGCUGGUCUUCUUCCUUGGAGAUGAUUUCCUUGGUGCAAUCACAAACUCCACACAUAAAAAUACGGAUUAUUUAGAGUUUAAUUCUUUUGAGUUAUUUUAGCAAUGCUAAAAAUUCCAAAACUACAGAAGGUAAGAACCAUGGUACAUGAUCUUCUUGUGCUCUUUUGACUAAAAGUAGUAGAAGUCUGUUAAACUUGGAGAUGAUUUCUUUGGUCUAACCACAAUAUAUCAUACAAAAUUAUUCUUUGAGGCAAAAAAAAAAAAUUUCUCUGAACAACAGAUUUGCAUGUGUGCCAAAUUGCCAAUGCUUAAGAUUUUCAAACUGGGCAUGCAUUCAGACCAAAAUAUGUUAUCCUAGUUACCGACAUAAUAAAUUUUACUCACUCAUCUUGAGAUAAGCUAAGGUUGGAACUUCUCAAAGAGGGUGCCUAUCGAUUAUGAUAAGCUAAGGUGCUUGGCGAUUACAGCUACGCGUGGCUGCAGCAAGCAGAAAAUACCAAUACAAGGUUCGCAGAUUUAGUGGUUCAGCAAAACGAGAUAAAAGAACAGANNNNNNNNNNNNNNNNNNNNNNNNNNNNNNNNNNNNNNNNNNNNNNNNNNNNNNNNNNNNNNNNNNNNNNNNNNNNNNNNNNNNNNNNNNNNNNNNNNNNNNNNNNNNNNNNNNNNNNNNNNNNNNNNNNNNNNNNNNNNNNNNNNNNNNNNNNNNNNNNNNNNNNNNNNNNNNNNNNNNNNNNNNNNNNNNNNGAACGAAAGCCAGUAACUACAGCAGUCUUGCAUCAUCAGGAAAUAAAAGCUACGCUACAGGGGAAUACAUCAACCAGAGCUGAGAGCAGAAGUUCUCUCCACAUAAGCUAAUUAAUCUUUUUUCAUUACAGAACCUCAUGAGCGUAAGAAAGCAAAAAAGCGAAGCCAAAUAGGAUCUUCAGAUGCGAGCACCAGCUUCCACCUCUCCAUCCCACAAGCUCAUGCGCCCCCUCCUUGUCUCAUUUCCAUGCAAUUCGCAUCAGUUCUCCACGCCGCUUGUCCAGUAGAAGAAUGUAUCGUUGAAGCAGGGUUGCUUGAGCAUCGUCGCAGAGAACCUUUCACUGAUGUAAAUAACAGCUUAGCUUUGCAAGAAUGCAGUUCAUGUUUUUCCACUUCUUCCCCUGAAAACAAAAGUUGUUUCUCAGUCUCCACAAGCUCCACAAGAUAGCAGCAAUUACCAUAUUCAGCAUAGGUUUUUUUUAUGCACAUGCCAAAAGGCAUAAAUAUUUUCAAAGUUAGUUAUUCUAUCGAUCUCAAAGAAGCUAGAGACAAAGUCCCAUACAUAUUGAGCAACCACACAGUCAAAUAGCAAGUGUUGGACAGUUUCAUAUUCAGCACAGAAGAGACAAGAUGGAUCCUCUACAUCUCUCCUUUUAGCAAGAUCAUCUCUAGUUAGGAUUUUGUUGUGGACACACAGCCAUAAGAACACAUGAAUUUUUUGAGGACAUAAAAUUUUCCAAAGAUCAUCUCUGAUAGCAGAAGCUAUCCCUCCAAAGUUAAUAUGUUUAUAGAAGGAUUUAACUGAAUAUAACCCAUUAGACUCCAAAGACCAAAUUGGUCUAUCAGAAUCAGCUGUCAAUGGGUGCUGCUGAACAACAUCCAGAAGCUGUCUCCAGCGAUCUAAUCCACCUUGAUCAACACAUCUCCUAAAAGUCAAUCUAAGGUCAUAUCCGUCCCACACCUGAGCCACAAUGCACUCAGUUUGAUUACAAAUGCAAAAUAGGUCCCAAAAUUGCACCUUUAAGGAGCAUUUCCCUAUCCAAAUAUCAUGCCAGAAGCUGAUUAGUUCACCAUUGCCCAAUCUCCAUCUUUAGAAAUUUUUAGCAGUUGUCAAAGCCCAGGUGAUGCUCUUCCAGAAGGUAGAGCCCCCAUCACCUUUUGCCCAGAGGAGAUUGGGAGAAUUCACCCUAUACUUAUGUAAAAUAAUCUUUUUCCAAUCUGAGUCAGUAUUAUCAAAAUACCUUUUCCCCCAUAAAGCAAGUAAAGGCAUAUUAAAUUCUUUGAUGUUGGGUAUCCCAAACCCCCAAACUCUUUCUUCCUAGUGAUGAACCCCCAAUUGGCUAAAUGGCACUUGUGUUGGCCACCAACAUCUCCCCAAAAGAAGUGUGCCAUCUGUGAAUUGAUAGCGUUGAUCGCCCAUUUAGGGAAUUUAAUCACAAACAUGAGAUAGGCAGGAAUACUAAUCAAACAAGCACAAAGCAGAAUGAUCUUCCCUCUAUAAGUGAGAUAUCUCCCAAGCCAGCUAGAUAUGCCUUUUACAAUCCUAUCAAUAAUGGGAUGGAGAUCUUCCCUUUUCAGUUUGUCAUAGUGCAAAGGCACUCCUAGAUAUUUGAUAGGGAAAGAUCCCCUUUUACAACAGAAAAUCUGGGCAAUUUCAUUAGCCGCUGCAUCCUCCACAUUUAUCGUCAUCAAAUCACUUUUGUUAAAGUUAAUUUUCAUCCUAGAGAGGUUUUAAAAGCAAGACAAAAACCACUUAAAAUUUCUAGCUUUAUGAACAGAAUUUUCCAAGAAGAGGAUAAUAUCUUCUGCAUAUUACAGACUUACUACCCCUCCCGGAAUUACAUUGGGCAGAAGCCUAGAAAUUAAAUCUUGAGAAGCAGCCUUUUUCAAUAUUUUUGUAAAAACAUCAGCCACCAAGUUAAACAACAAGGGGGAAUGCGGGUCCCCUUGUUUAAUCCCUCCCCCCCAUGAAAUAAUUAUCAUUAGUAUCAUUGAUUCUCACAGCGAACGUGCUAUUAAUCAACAUACUUUUAAUCCAAGAGAUCCAUUUGGGGCAAAAACCUCUAGAUUGAAGCAUUUCAAACAGAAAAUCCCAGUUGACUCUAUCAUAGGCUUUUUCAUAGUCUAAUUUGAGAACUAAACCUUGAGAACCCGAUUUCUUAACCUCAUGGAUCACUUCAUGUGCCAUCACUACACUCUCCAAAAUAUAUCUACCUUUGAUAAACGCAGUUUGAUUUGAUGAAAUUAAUCUACGACCAACGGGGGAAACCUUGUUGGUCCUAGCUUUUGAGAAAAUUUUAAUUCCACAAUUACUCAAACUGAUCGGUCUGAACUUUUUCAUAUCCUUGGUAUCAGAUUCUUUCGGGAUAAGAACAAUUAAAGCAAAGUUCAAUCUCUGCAUGUCCAAUUUACCCUCCUCAAAGUCUCUAACUAGAGCCAUGAAAUCAGUUUUGAUCACCUCCCAAAAGGUUUGUAAAACAGAAAGGACAGCCCAUCGGGACCAGGGGCCCCAUGUGCAUAAGAACCAAAUAUUGCCUCCUUAAUUUCUUCCUCAGAGAAGCUUCUCUGGAGAAGGUCAUUUUCUUCUUGGGUAACCAAGUCACUGUCUUCCCAGAAGGAAGGGCCAAGAUGGAUGUUAAGUUUAUCCUCAACACCAAAUAGGUUUUUAUAAAAGUUAGUAGCUACAUCCAACAUUUCUUUGGUAGUAUAAACAGGGCCAUUAUCUCCAUUCAAUUCAGAAAGGUGGUUUUUCCUAUAUCUAUGAUUAGCCACCGCCUGAAAAUAUGCAUUAUUUUUAUCACCAUCAACAAUCCUACGAUCUCUGGAUCGCUGCCAAAAGGCAGUUUCUUCUUUACUCCAAAUACCAGCAAGUUCUUUCUUAAUCUCCUCCAUUCUAACUCUAUCUACAUCAUUAAUUUGAUUCUUUUCGGAGAAUACAUUGAGAAUAUCAAAUUCGAGCAGAAGCUCUCUCUUUUUUCUCUUGAUGCCUGCCUCAAUAUUAAUACUCCAGCCUUUAACCUUCUUUCCGAAUAACCUACAUUUGUUCAUCCAAAUAUCUAUGGCUGUUUUACCAGGGACUGGAGUAUUCCAUAUCUUGUUCACCAGAUCCUUAAAAUAUGGUUGGUUAAGCCACCAUUUCUCAAAUCGAAACAUUUUUGUGGAGGUAACCCUCCAAGCACUCGUGUCUAAAAGCAAUGGUGUAUGGUCGCUCCCAACACGUGGGAGCAUGGUCACCACAGAAAGAGGAAUUAAUUAUCCCAGGAGCCAGAAGUAAAUAUUCUAUCUAUCGCAGCAAAAAUAGGAUUGUUCUGGUUGUUGCUCCAAGUGAACUUCCUAUUAGCACUCUUGAUCUCCAUAAGGGACUAUUUAUUAAUCCAAUCAUUAGAAAAAUAUGAAAACUGACUAUUAACUACCCCAUUAUUCUUAUCAUCGCUCGAUCUGACCAAAUUAAAAUCUCCACCCAACAAAACUGGGUAAGUGAGGCCCUCCAUAGUGUCAUGUAGCUCAGCAAUAAAUUCCAAAUUAAGUUCAUUAUAAGAAGUACCAUAGAUAGCCACCAAAUGCCACAAGAACCCAUCACUCUUAUUUUUGACAGUGGCAAUAACGCAAAACUUUUUAUUGAUGAAACUUAUCACCUCAAACAAGUCAUUUUUAGACCCACAGGGAUCCCUCCAGCUGUGUUCACUGCAGGCAAGUAAUGCCAAACAAAGUCGUCCUUGCCAAAAAUGUAUUUUAGAACAUGACUAUCAAUAUUUUCUCUUUUGGUUUCAAAGAAACAAACAAAAUCUACAUGAUUAUUACUAACAAAAUCUCCUAGGCACCGAUUUUCCCAGUUUGACCCAUAACACGAAUGUUCCAGAAAGCUCCCAUCAUUUAACUCUAAAAGGGUGCGACAAGCCACAAGGCUUCUUCUUAGUAUUCAGAACAUGGCUUUCCAAUAAUGGCUCAGCAGUGCCAUCUGCACCAAUAGUAGAAAAGUCACUGCUAAUAAUCUGAGACUUAGAACCCUCCAGGAUCUCUAUAUCUAAACUAUCAGAAAGAACAAUCUCCGGAUUAUCGUCAGCAAACUGGAGACAUCUAGCUUUCUCAUUAUCAAUCAUAUCCAUGAUAAUAUCUUUUUGUUCUUGCGUAUUAUUGCCAAUGCAUAGAUAUACUUUAUCAGUAUUUAAAACAAGUUCACUAGGGUCUAAGAUAGCAAACGAUUUACCUUUGAAAGUGUUAGGAAUCUCCAGGUUCUUCUUCAUCAUAUAUGCAACAGCUUUAUCCAUAAUCUUGAUGUUUCCAUGGUUCCUAGUCAUUGGCUUGCUCGCUAGCACCGGGCCCCAGACAGGUGAAUUUUUGACACUUGGUUUCUUCUUGUGCACUGAUUCCGCAUUAUCCAAAGUUUCCAGCAACGAUCUCUUAGCAGAUCCCAUUGCCGUCGCCAGAUCUUCAGGGAGGCAUUGCAUCUCAUCUACCAGACCCCCCUCUUCAUCAGACUCCACCAUUUCAAAUCUGCUUAAUUGUUUAGAAUAGUAGUCUAGGUGCACUGACAAGGGAUCAGAUCUUGCAGAAAGAGAGGGCCUUGUAGAGGUGAUAUCUUCCUUCUCUGCAUCCUUGGUAACCAUUUUCUCAGGGGUUUUGUUCCUAACCUCUUCCACAAAGUCCUCAUGAACGGUAUCCAACAUAUUAGUGGGGUGAAACUCAACUGUAGAAGCAACUUUCUGUGGCAGUGACUGACUUGAACUUGCAGUAAAGGUAAAUUUGGAAGGGAAGUUUGCCUUGUACAGCUCAUCAAUAGGUUCCUCCAUAUCACCCCCUCAAAUUUAUCUUUACUAGACACAUCCCCAUUGUUAUCUUCAUUUUCCUUUUCCAAGUUAUCCAAAUCUAGAUCAAGAUCAUCACCAUCAGAGUCUUCUCCCAUUUGCUCAAAACCUUCCACAAUGAAGAACAAUAUGUACAACUUCCUUUUCAUCUCCACUAACCUCUCAAAUGGUAUUUUCCUUGGGUCUCUACAAGAAACUUUCACUCUGAUGGUCUCAUAGAAGCUCUUAAAAAUGCCAUUCUAGUCUACAUCAACCAGGAUCCCAAAACAUGCAGUAAUCUGGGCAAAAGCCUUCCAAGCACACCAUUUAGGAGGAAUCCCUUCAAUCCGAACCCAAGCUUCAGUUAACACUCCAAAUUCAUCUAGCAUUCCUACCCAUUCACAAAUCUUGACAGAGACCCCAUCAAUUGGCAGCUCAAAUGCAGGAAACUCGAUCAGGUCAUCCACAUUUUUCCAUGGAGGGAAUUGAUAACCCACAAGUAUAGGGGAUCGCAACAGUUUUCGAGGGUAGAGUAUUCAACCCAAAUUUAUUGAUUCGACACAAGGGGCGCCAAAGAAUAUUCUCAGGUAUUAGCAGCUGAGUUUUCAAUUCAACCACACCUGGAAACUUAAUAUCUGCAGCAAGGUAUUUAGUAGCAAAGUAAUAUGAUAGUAAUGGUAACGGUGGUAAAAGGUAACGGUAGCAAAAGUAAUAUUUUUGGUGUUUUAUAGUGAUGAUAACAGUAGCAACGGAAAAGUAAAUAAGCGAAGAACAAUAUAUGGAAAGCUCGUAGGCAAUGGAUCGGUGAUAGAGAAUUAUGUCGGAUGCGGUUCAUCAUGUAACAGUCAUAACCUAGGGUGACACAGAACUAGCUCCAGUUCAUCAAUGUAAUGUAGGCAUGUAUUCCGAAUAUAGUCAUACGUGCUUAUGGAAAAGAACUUGCAUGACAUCUUUUUUCCUACCCUCCCGUGGCAGCGGGGUCCUAUUAGAAACUAAGGGAUAUUAAGGCCUCCUUUGUAACAUCCCAAAUUUUCAAUUUGGAAUGUUAUACACUAGAUCAUCAUUUGCAUAUCAUAUUUUAUUGUAUUUUUGUCGAUCCUAGAAAAUUCUACGCAACUCAAGGACCCCCGGAGAGAGUUGGGGAUUUCGUUAUUUUCAUAUUUGAGUUUUCUCAAAUUUUGAAAAUAGGAUCAUUUGAUUUUAUUUAUUUUAUCUUCAAUUAUUUCUAUUAUCAAAUAUGAGAGAGGGAAUAAAAUGACUUUCCCAAAAAUAAAGAAAUAUUGAGAAUUUAAUUAAAAAAUCAAAUAAGAUUUUAUUUUGGUUUUAUUUGCUAUUUUAUUUGAAUUUAGGAAAAAUGCGUGUUUUUCAAAAUUGCAUUUAGGCCCCAAAUAAAUGUUCAUCCUGUGCGGCUUGAUUUUAGAAGCCGGGGAAAAUUUAUUUCGGGAUUUUUGGAGUCCGUUUAGUAUUUCUUUUAUUUUUUUCUAAGCGUAACUAUUUAAAAAAAACGCGCAACCGACUUAUCAGGCCGUGUCCGACCUGGACACCCGGCCCGGCCGGCUUUAAAUAGCCGGGAGGCCCAGCCGCCACCCCCCACCGAAACCCUAGCCGCCCUAUCACGCCGCCGCCGCCGUCGGAUCCGCCGCUGGAGGUAGAUCUCGCCGCCGGAUUUUUUUUUAAAAACCGAUCGGUUUUCCGUCGGUUCGUUCGAUUUUUUUAGUUCGUUUUUUUAAAUAGAUCGAUUUUUCCGGUUUAUUUAUUUAGCGAGCGUUCGCCCGCUCGUUCGUUUUAACGAACGCGUUCUUCGUUUAGAUCCAGUUAACGAACGUUCGUUCGUUAACCCGUUCGUCAUUUUCUUUUCUCGGAUUAAAUCCGUGAUUUUUCUGAUCGCGAUUUCUGAUCCGAUUUUCGUUUUAGUUUAACUUUUCGCUCGUUUAUCGGAAUCAGGCGACAAGCACCUGGAGUUUCGUCUCGAAACCCUCUUUCCGUUUAACCAACUCAAACAAGUUUUUGCCACUGUAAAAAUUGCCUUAGAUCCAGAAUAGUAAACGAAGCUUGUUUCUUUUGCCGUUUGUCUUUCGUUGCUUCGUUCGAUUUGAUUCUUUUUGCCAGCCAGAGUUCUUAAGUUGAACUUUCUGGUUAGAUCUCUUAUUCGAGUUUUACCUGUGCAUUAGAUGAGUACUUAUUGUAUGCUUGUUUGUUUGCGAUAGAGUACCCGGAGUGCGCCGCUUGCUACUUUGAAUCGCUAGGUUUUGCGGAUCAUCAGCAAGGCAAGUAACACUUUGAUCAUACCUCCUACUACCCAAUUUUUAUUGCAUUAGACCAAUCCUCACACAUUGCAUGAUUAAGAUCUAAUUAAAUUAUGGGUUUGGGAAGUAGUUGAGGUAGAACCUAUUGCCUGUUUAUUAUCAAACCUUUGGGAGUUACUUCUACAUUUGCGUAUUAUGCCAUGCUAUGCUAGUAGACAUGGAUUGAGUGAGUGUAUCCAUGACAGAUGUGAGAUUGUUAAAUUAAUGGUUUAUAUAAGGUGACAACUUAAAUACACAUCUGGGUGGAUUGAGGCACCUGGGUAUUCCAGCGAUUGCCUGUUUUCUUUUGGACCACCACCCAGGCUCAAAGGGAUCAUGAGAUUAUUCAUGCUAGAAACUUCCGAGUGCAUCCACAAGCUACUAUGGGCUCUAGCAUAGUUGACUAAGUCGUGCGAACUCUUACAGUGGUAGACUAGCAGAUGUAGGGGAUGUAGGUGGUACGGUCUACCCAUCGUAAGGUGCUAGCGCUUCUGAAAGACUAUGUCUCGGUCAUCCGUUUCUCAAACACCAUGCAGUGCGAGAAAUCCAACGGAGGAGACCGAGUCUUGUGGGGUAAAGUGCGCAAACCUCUGCAGAGUGUAUAAACUAAUCAUGGUUAGCCGUGUCCCCGGUUAUGGACAUCUUAAGUAUCUAGUACCUAGAUUAUCAUGUGAAUCUCAUCAGGUUACUCUAAAAUAAAUUUUGUUGGGUUUUGUUUAAUGAUGAUGCUUAAUUGGGAUUGAGAAUGUUGUCAACCAUUCUCAAUGUUUAACAACUACCAUGAUAGUUAAAUAAAAUUUAUUCCAUUGCAGUAGGGAAAAAUUGGCUUUACGCAAAACUGUAACCAUAGAGCUUUCCACCAGCCAAAUAUGCAUGUAGUAUAGCCUUAUUCUUCCAUUACUCUCUAUGUGUUACAUUGCCAGCAUAUUCCAUGUGCUGACCCAUUUUGGGCUGCAACGUUAAUGUUGCAGACUUUUCAGACGAUGAUUAAGGUGCCUUUAGGUCGUGGUUCUAUACUCAGUGAUGCCGUUGGAGUUGAUGGAUUCACUUAUCUUCCAAGCCUUCCGCUGUUAUCGUUAUUAGAUGGUCUUAAGCCAUAUUUAUUGUAAUAAGUUCUCUUUUGAGACAUUCGAUGUAAUAAGUGUGUGAUUGCUACUAUGUUAUAAAUCCUUCAAGUACUAUGUGGUGUCAGCAUUACUGAUCCAGGGAUAACACCUGAGCAUAGAGAUUGGACCGUUUGAGGUCUGGUCGCUACAAGAUGGUAUCAGAGCACACGCUGACUGUAGGACACGACCACUAAGCAAAAGCCCUAGAUCAUUACUCUCUCUUCUCAUUCUGACUCCUCAUCUUUGCUACUCUUUUAGGUUGGCGGAUGCAAGGAACAAGUUCACACAACCGGAUGAAGAUACACCCUUUGGACGUCACUUGAAGGAAGUCACUAGAUACCUGAGCAUAGGAGUACCAAGCUUCACCGGAACCUACAACGCUACUCUACCUGAAGAAGAGCGCUGGAUGAUUCAAGUUCAAGUUCCAGGAAGGACGUUCAUUCCAGUCACUGAGCCCAUAGAGUUUUCCUUUGAUGCACCAACCUGGAGUCUAGGAAAGAGCAUGGCAGCUCACAUCGCCAUGGGACGCAUUGGAGAAGUUUACCGCAAUGAUCUCAAGGAUACUAUCUAUCAGAUUUGUGGGCGCCGAGAUGAGCACUUGGAGAUGAUCAGCACCAGGAAGGAUAGAUCAAUUGCAUCUUUUAUCCAGGAGUUAAACCAGCACAUUCGACGUCAGGAGAACCAGAUGUGCGCCGACAUGAUAGAUCUGAAGAAGGCGAGGACAAGAAUCAAGGAACUGGAGGAAGAACUCAAGGCUACUCGUGAAGAUUAUGAAGAGGAAAUCGAAGUAUUAGUGGAGAAGAAUGACGAUCUGAUCAAGAAGAUUGGAAUAUUUGUGGGAGGCCCUACACCAGUAGAAGAAGACGAAUAACCCAAGGAGAUUCGCCCGAAGACUACAUCAUCAUCGACGACACCGACUUGGACCCAAAUGAUAGCGAUGAUGACUAUGUUGAUGAAGCUGGAGCAGAUAUCAUGGAGUCUACAACCGAAGAAUAUUUCUAGCAGACCACCCCAAUAGUAGUAGUAGUCCACCAUGUAAAUAUAGUAGUCCGAGCACUUUUGUGAUAGUUAGAUCGAUUGUAUGCCCUUGUUUGAUUGAUUGAAUGAAGUGAAUUGUUUGCUUUUGCCUCAUGUGCAUAUGGGUAGUGUUUUCUCUUUAGACCCCCUCUAUUCUUAAAUCUCAUCCUUUCUAAACCCUCAGAUGCCUCCGAGAUGUGACCCCGGAUUUACCUUCCCACCGGAGCUCACUCAGUUGAUCCAGUAGCAGAACACAUUGAUGUAGUUGCUCUAGAAUCAGAAUCAGGGGAACAACAACAACAACCCACCACCACCACCACCACCUGUUGAUCACUUAGCCCGUUUUCUUAGGCUGAAUCCGCCGGUGUUUUCCAAUAGCACCGAGCCGAUAGUAGCAGAUGAUUGGCUCCGUAAGACAGCUAGAAAGUUGACCACGACAGGAUGCACAGAUGCGGAAAAGGUGAAGUUUGCCACACAUCAGCUGGAAGGACCCGCAACAUCAUGGUGGGAGAAUUUCACAGCCACUUUCCAUGUCGACACUGUCACGUGGGAUCAGUUUCAGCAGCCUUUUCGUACUACCCAUGUUUCAGCAGGAGCUAUGGCCAUGAAGAAGCAAGAAUUUCGCAACUUGCGCCAAGGAGGACGGACAGUUGGCCAGUAUGUGGAGGACUUUAGUAAGCUAGCACGUUAUGCCCCAGAUGACGUUGCUACGGAUGCAGCUAAGCAGGAGAAGAUUAUGGAAGGACUGAAUGAUGAGUUGAGCAUGCAGUUGAUGGUAGCAACCUUCAACAACUACCAGGAGUUGGUAGAUCGUGCUCUCAUGAUUGAAGGGAAGCAGCAGCAGAUUGAGAAUCGCAAGAGGAAGUAUGGACAAGGGAAGUACAAUUCAGGAGCCCAGCAAAAGCCACGUUUUACCCCUAGACCGGGAGGACAUUUUCGGCAUACCCAUGGAGGAGGUAGCUCGCACAAUCACAAUGGCACCAAGAAUGGUAAUGGGAAUGGAGGAAGCAACGGCCAGAAUCGCACCAACCCAUCGACCCCAACCAAGAGAGACCUGAGCCAAGUCACUUGCUUUAAGUGCCAGAAGACCAGACAUUAUGCCAAUGAAUGUCCUGAAUCCUAGAAUGGAAAUGGCAAUGGAAGCUCUGGAAAGAAGCCGAACCCUUUCAACAGGGGACGGGUGAACCACGUUAACGUGGAGGAGGUUGAAGAGCAGCCGGAUGCCGUAAUCGGUAAGUUUUUUGGUUAAGUCAUUUACUGCACUCGUUCUUUUUGAUACUGGUGCAUCGCAUUCAUACAUAUCAAGGGGAUUUGUGGAUAAGUAUAAACUACCAACCCAAGCCCUUAGAUCACCCAUGUUAGUAACCUCGCCUGGAGCAGAGUAUAUGGCCAGUCUAUGGUGUGAUCGGUUACCAUUAAGGAUUGGUAACUAUGUAUUUCCCUUGGACCUAAUAGUAUUGGAAUCCCAAGGAUUGGAUGUGAUAUUAGGCAUGAAUUGUUUAUCAAAGUAUGAAGGGAAUAUUGAAUGUGCCAGUAAGUCAAUUUUGCUUACAACGCCAGAAGGGAGAAGGAUCAAGUAUGUAUCCCGGCAUGUGCCAAAAAGGACUCAAGUAAAUUGUUUAAUAGGAGUUGUGCAGGAGGAAGUACCAGUGGUGAAAGAUUUCCCGGAUGUAUUUCCAGAGGAGUUGCUAGACAUGCCACCAGAUAGAGAUAUUGAGUUUUUGAUUGAGCAUUUGCCAGGCACAGGGCCAAUAUCUAAGAGACCAUAUAGGAUGCCCACAAAGGAUUUGGUGGAGAUUAAGAAGCGGAUUAAGGAGUUACUGGAUAAAGGAUAUAUUCACCCAAGUUCUUCACCUUGGGGAUCGCCAAUACUUCUAGUGGAGAAGAAGGAUGGAUCGUUAAGGAUGGUUGUUGAUUAUCGAGGAUUGAAUGAAGUAACCAUCAAGAACAAGUACCCACUACCGAUGAUCAAUGAUCUGUUUGAUCGAUUGCAAGGAGCUAAGGUAUUUUCCAAGAUCGAUCUGCGAUCAGGAUACCACCAGUUGAAGAUUCGAGAACAGGAUAUACCUAAGAUAGCUUUUACCACCAGGUAUGGGCUAUACGAGUAUACUGUUAUGUCAUUUGGUCUGACUAACGCACCUGCAUAUUUUAUGAACGUGAUGAACAAAGUGUUUAUGGAGUUUUUGGAUUAGUUCGUUGUAGUGUUCAUUGAUGAUAUCCUGGUUUACUCGAAGAAUGAAGAUGAGCAUAAGGAGCAUUUGCGUUUGGUUCUUGGAAAGCUCAGAGAACAUCAAUUAUAUGCCAAGUUUAGCAAAUGUGAGUUUUGGUUGGAGGAAGUUUGAUUUCUCGGACACGUUAUAUCUGGAGAAGGUAUAGCAGUAGAUCCCACUAAGGUUGAUACCGUGACAAAUUGGGAAGCGCCAACAACAGUUGGAGAGAUCCGGAGUUUUCUUGAACUCGCAGGAUACUACCGGAGAUUUAUUGAGAAUUUCUCAAAGAUUGCGAAGCCUAUGACGGAGUUGUUGAAAAAGGAUACCAAGUUCAUAUGGACUGAGGAAUGUGAGGCUAGUUUCCAGGAGUUUAAGAAACGUUUGGUUACCUCACCAGUGUUGAUUUUGCCAGAUCAGACCAAGGAUUAUGAGGUGUAUUAUGACGCUUCACGUCGAGGACUUGGAGCAGUGCUUAUGCAGGAAGGAAGAGUUGUUUCAUAUGCCUCACGACAGCUUAAGCCUCAUGAGUUAAAUUAUGCUAUGCAUGAUUUGGAGUUAGCAGCCGUAGUGCAUGCAUUGAAAACCUGGAGACACUUUCUCAUUGGAAACCAUUGUGAGGUGUACACGGAUCACAAGAGUUUGAAGUAUACUUUCACGCAGAAGGAGUUGAAUCUCAGGUAAAGGAGAUGGUUGGAGCUCAUCAAGGAUUAUGAUAUGAGAUUGCAUUAUCACCCCGGAAAGGCUAACAUAGUAGCCAACGCGUUGAGUCGUAAAAGCCAUGUCAACACACUAAUGACGGGAGAUUUACCAAGGGAGUUAGCCGAAAAUAUCUGAGAGCUAUGUUUGGAAAUAGUACCAAGAGGCUAUGUAGCAGCAUUGGAGAUUCAGUCUACUUUGAUGGAGAAGAUUAGGGAAGCCCAGAAGACUGACAAGGAGAUUGCCUCUAUAAAGGAGAAAAUGAGCAAAGGAAAAGCUAAGGGAUUUCGUGAGGAUGAGCACGAUACCUUAUGGUUUGAAGACCGUGUUUAUGUGCCUAAUGAUUUGGAGAUCAGGAAGUUAAUUCUGCAAGAGGCCCAUGAUUCACCCUAUUCGAUUCACCCAGGAAAUACCAAGAUGUAUCUGGAUUUGAAGGAUAUUUUCUGGUGGACCGGAAUGAAGAAGGAUAUUGUGGAGUAUGUAGCAGUUUGUGAUGUAUGUCAGAGAGUAAAGGCAGAGCAUCAGAAGCCAGCAGGAUUGCUACAGCCAUUGCCGAUACCCGAAUGGAAGUGGGAUAAGUUAGGCAUGGAUUUUAUUACAGGUUUACCCAGAACUCGUUCAGGCUAUGAUUUGAUUUGGGUUGUAGUCGAUCGUUUGAAAAAGGUAGCUCAUUUCAUUCCAGUAAAGACUACCUAUACCAGUGCAAAGUUGGCAAAGAUAUACAUGACCAGAAUCGUAUGUCUGCAUGGAGUUCCAAGGAGCAUUGUAUCAGAUAGAGGAACCCAAUUUACCUCAAAGAACUGGAAUCAGUUGCAUGAAACUUUAGGUACCAGACUGGAGUUUAGUAUAGCCUUCCAUCCGCAGACAGAUGGACAGACCGAGAGAGUCAACCAGAUUUUGGAGGAUAUGCUGAGAGCUUGUGCGCUAGAUUACGGAUCUAGUUGGGACGAGAAUUUGCCAUAUGCAGAGUUCUCUUACAACAACAGCUACCAAUCCAGUUUGAAGAUGGCCCCUUUCGAAGCCUUGUACGGAAGGAGGUGCAGGACCCCAUUGUCGCGGGGUGAAGUUGGAGACCGCCAGUUGUUUGGACCGGAUCUGAUUAAGGAGUCUGAACAGAAAGUGAAAUUGAUUCGCGAUAGGCUCAAGGUAGCUCAAUCCAGGCAGAAGAGCUAAGCAGAUUCUAAACGCAAGGCGACCGUUUAUGAAGUCGGAGACCGAGUUUACCUUCGAGUAUCUCCACUUCGAGGAGUUAAGCACUUUGGAGUUAAGGGAAAGUUAGCGCCACAUUUUGUGGGACCAUACAAAGUUUUGGAGCGUAUGGGAGAAGUUGCCUACAAGUUGGGGUUGCCUAAAGGAUAGUCAGGAGUUCACGACGUGUUCCACGUUUCCCAGUUGAAGAAGUGCCACGCAGAGAUGGCUGAUAUACCGCUGAGAGAUACAGUGCCACUGGAAGCGAUUCAGUUGGACAAUGAUUUGACCUAUGAGGAGAAACCAGUUAAGAUUCUAGAGUAUGCCAGUCGAGUCACCCGCAUCAAGGUUAUCAAGUUUUGCAAAGUUCAGUGGAGCCACCACACAGAGGAUGAAGCCACCUGGGAGCGAGAGGAAGAAUUGCUGAAGGACCACCCUCACCUAUUUUCUAGCCAACCCGAAUCUCGAGGGCGAGAUUCAUCUUAAGGGGGGUAGGUUUGUAACAUCCCAAGUUUUCAAUUUGGAAUGUUAUACACUAGAUCAUCAUUUGCAUAUCAUAUUUUAUUGCAUUUUUGUCGAUCCUAGAAAAUUCUACGCAACUCAAGGACCCUCGGAGAGAGUUGGGGAUUUCGUUAUUUUCAUGUUUGAGUUUUCUCAAAUUUUGAAAAUAGGAUCAUUUGAUUUUAUUUAUUUUAUCUUCAAUUAUUUCUAUUAUCAAAUAUGAGAGAGGGAAUAAAAUGAAUUUCCCAAAAAUAAAGAAAUAUUGAGGAUUUAAUAAAAAAAUCAAAUAAGAUUUUAUUUUGGUUUUAUUUGCUAUUUUAUUUGAAUUUAGGAAGAAUGCGCAUUUUUCAAAAUUGCAUUUAGGCCCCAAAUAAAUGUUCAUCCUGUGCGGCUUGAUUUUAGAAGCUUGGGAAAAUUUAUUUCAGGAUUUUUGGAGUCUGUUUAGUAUUCCUUUUGUUUUUUCUGAGUGUAACUAUUUAAAGAAAAAAACGCGCAACCGACUUAUCGGGUCGUGUCCGACCUGGACACCCGGCCUGGCCGGCUUUAAAUAGCCGGGAGGCCCAGCCGCCACCCCCCACCGAAACCCUAGCCGCCCUAGUGCACCGCCGCCCGCCGCCGCCGGAGGUAGAUCUCGCCGCCGUUUUUUUUAAAAACCGACCGGUUUUUCGUCGGUUCGUUCUGUUUUUUUAGUUCGUUUUUUAAAUAGAUCGGUUUUUGCGGUUUAUUUAUUUAGCGAGCGUUCCCCCGUUCGUUCAUUCUUUAACCUGUUCGUCGUUUUCUUUUUCUCGGAUUAAAUUCGCGAUUUUUCUGAUCGUGAUUUCUGAUCCGAUUUUUGUUUUAGUUUAACUUUUUGCUCGUUUGUCGGAAUCAGGCAAUUCAAGUGCCUGGAGUUUCGUCUCGAAACCCUCUUUCCAUUUAAUCAACUCAAACAAGUUUUUGCCACUAUAAAAAUUGACUUAGAUCUAGAAUAGUAAAUGCAGCUUGUUUCUUUUGCCGUUUGUCUUUCGUUGCUUCCUUCGAUUUGAUUCUUUUUGCCAACCGGAGUUCUUAAGUUGAACUUUAUGGUUAGAUCUCUUAGUCGAGUUUUACCUAUGCAUUAUAUGAGUACUUAUUGUAUGCUUGUUUGUUUGCGAUAGAGUACCCGGAGUGCGCCGCUUGGUACUUUAAAUCGCUAGGUUUUGCGGAUCAUCAGCAAGGCAAGUAACACUUUGAUCAUACCUCCUACUACCUAGUUUUUAUUGCAUUAGACCAAUCCUCACACAUUUCAUGAUUAGGAUCUAAUUAAAUUGUGGGUUUGGGAAGUAGUUGAGGUAGAACCUAUUACCUGUUUAUUAUCAAACCUUUGGGAGUUACUUCUACGUUUGCGUAUUGUGCCAUGCUAUGCUAGUAGACGUGGAUUGGGUGAGUGUAUCCAUGACAGAUGUGAGAUUGUUAAAUUAAUGGUUUAUCUAAGGUGGCAAAUUAAAUACACAUCUGGGUGGAUUGAGGCACCUGGGUAUUCCAGUGAUUGCCUGUUUUCUUUUGGACCGCCACCCAGGCUCAAAGGGAUCAUGAGAUUAUUCAUGCUAGAAACUUCGGUGUGCAGCCACAAGCUACUAUGGGCUCUAGCAUAGUUGACUAAAUCAUGCGAACUCUUACAGUGGUAGACUAGCAGAUGUAGGGGAUGUAGGUGGUACGGUCUACCCAUCGUAAGGUGCUAGCGCUUCUGAAAGACUAUGUCUCGGUCAUCCGUUUCUCAAACACCAUGCAGUGUGAGAAAUCCAACGGAGGAGAUCGAGUCUUGUGGGGAAAAGUGCGCAAACCUCUGCAGAGUGUAUAAACUGAUCAUGGUUAGCCGUGUCUCCGGUUAUGGACAUCUUGAGUAUCUAUUACCUAGAUUAUCAUGUGAAUCUCAUCAGGUUACUCUAAAAUAAAUUUUGUUGGGUUUUGUUUAAUGAUGAUGCUUAAUUGGGAUUGAGAAUGCUGUCAACCAUUCUCAAUGUUUAACAACUACCAUGAUAGUUAAAUAAAAUUUAUUCCAUUGAAGUAGGGAAAAAUUGGCUUUACGCAAAACUGAAACCAUAGAGCUUUCCACCAGCCAAAUAUGCAUGUAGUAUAGCCUUAUUCUUCCAUUACUCUCUAUGUGUUACAUUGCCAGCAUAUUCCAUGUGGUGACCCGUUUCGGGCUGCAACGGCAGACUUUUCAGACGACGAUUAAGGUGCCUUUAGGUCGUGGUUCUAUACUCAGUGAUGCUGUUGGAGUUGAUGGACUCACUUAUCUUCCAAGCCUUCCGCUGUUAUCGUUAUUAGAUGGUCUUAAGCCAUAUUUAUUGUAAUAAGUACUCUUUUGAGACACUCGAUGUAAUAAGUGUGUGAUUGCUACUCUGUUAUAAAUCCUUCAAGUACUAUGUGGUGUCAGCAUUACUGAUCCAGGGAUGACACCUGAGCACAGAGAUUGGACCGUUUGAGGUCUGGUCGCUACAUCCUUUUAAUAGAGUACAGACCAAAGUAUUAACACAUAAUGAAUACAUGAACUCCUCAAACUACGAUCAUCACCGGUAAGUAUCCCGAUUAUUGUCACUUCGGGGUUAACGGAUCAUAACACAUAAUAGGUGACUAUAGACUUGCAAGAUAGGAUCAAGAACUCUCAUAUAUUGAUGAAAACAUAAUAGGUUCAGAUCUGAAAUCAUGGCACUCGGGCCCUAGUGAUAAGCAUUAAGCAUAGCAAGGUCAUAGCAACAUCGAUCUCAGAACAUAGUGGAUACUAGGGAUCAAACCCUAACAAAACUAACUCGAUUACAUGAUAAAUCUCAUCCAACCCAUCACCGUCUAGCAAGCCUACGAUGGAAUUACUCACGCACGACGGUGAGCAUCAUGAAAUUGGUGAUGGAGGAUGGUUGAUGAUGACGAUGGCGACGGAUUCCCCUCUCCGGAGCCCCGAACGGACUCCAGAUCAGCCCUCCCGAGAGAGUUUAGGGCUUGGCGGUGGCUCCGUAUCGUAAAAUGCGAUGAAUCCCUCUCUUUGUUUUUCUCUCUCCGAAAGUGAAUAUAUGGAGUCAAGGUUGAGGUCGGUGGAGCGUUAGGGGGCCCACGAGGCAGGGGGCGCGCCCAGGGGGGGCAGGCACGCCCCCACCCUCGUGGACAGGUGGAGGCCCCCCUGACGUGGAUCUUCCUUCUAGUAUUUUUUAUAUAUUCCAAAAUAAUUCUCCGUUGAUUUUCAGGUCAUUCCGAGAACUUUUAUUUCUGCACAAAAAUAACACCAUGGCAAUUCUGCUGAAAACAUCGCCAGUCCGGGUUAGUUCCAUUCAAAUCAUGCAAGUUAGAGUCCAAAACAAGGGCAAAAGUGUUUGGAAAAGUAGAUACGACGGAGACGUAUCAACUCCCCCAAGCUUAAACCUUUGCUUGUCCUCAAGCAAUUCAGUUGAUAAACUGAAAGUGAUAAAGAAAAACUUUUACAAACUCUGUUUGCUCUUGUUGUUGUAAAUAUGUCAAGCCAACAUUCAAGUUUUCAGCAAAGAUUAUGAACUAACCAUAUUCACGAUAACAUUUAGGUCUCAUGUUUACUCAUAUCAAUGGCAUAAUCAACUAGCGAGCAAUAAUAAUAAAUCUUGGAUGACAACAUUCUCUCAAAACAAUCAUGAUAUGAUAUAACAAGAUGGUAUCUCGCUAGCCAUUUCUGAGACCGCAAAACAUAAAUGCAAAGCACCUUUAAAGAUCAAGGACUGACUAGAAAUUGUAAUUCAUGGUAAAAGAGAUCCAGUCAAGUCAUACUCAAUGUAAACUAAUAGUAAUGGAUGUAAAUGACAGCAAUGCUCUCCAACUGGUGCUUUUUAAUAAGAGGAUGAUGACUCAACAUAAAAGUAAAUAGAUAGGCCCUUCGCAGAGGGAAGUAGGGAUUUGUAGAGGUGCCACAACUCGAUUUUGAAAUAGAUAUGAAUAAUAUUUUGAGCGGUAUACUUUCAUUGUCAACAUAACAACCAAGAGAUGGCAAUAUCUUCCAUGCUACACACAUUAUAGGCGGUUCCCAAACAGAAUGUUAAAGUUUAUACCCCCCUCCACCAACAAGCAUCAAUCCAUGGCUUGCUCGAAACAACGAGUGCCUCCAACUAACAAUAGUCCCGGGGGAGUUUUGUUUGCAAUUAUUUUGAUUUGAUUUUCAUAAAGCAUGGGGCUGGGCAUCCCGAUGACCAACCAUUUUCUCGUGAGUGAGGAGUGGAGUCCACUCCUCUUGAGAAUAACCCGCCUAACAUGGAAGAUACGGACAACCCUAGUUGAUACAUGAGCUAUUCGAGCAUGCAAAAUAGAAUGUUUAUUUGAAGGUUUAGAGUUUGGCACAUACAAAUUUACUUGGAACGGCAGGUAGAUACCGUAUAUAGGUAGGUAUGGUGGACUCAUAUGGAAUAACUUUGGGGUUUAUGGAAUUGUAUGCACAAGCAGUAUUCCCGCUUAGUACAAGUGAAGGCUAGCAAAAGGCUGGGAAGCGACCAGCUAGAGUGCAACAACAGUCAUGAACAUGCAUUAAAAUUAAUCAACACCGAAUGCAAUCAUGAGUAGGAUAUAGUGCACCAUGAACAUAAAUAUCAUAGAGGCUAUGUUGAUUUUGUUUCAACUACAUGCGUGAACAUGUGCCAACUCAAGCCACUCGAAACAUUCAGAAGAGGAUACCACCCUAUCAUACCACAUCACAACCAUUUUAAUAGCAUGUUGGCACGCAAGGUAAACCAUUAUAAGCUCCUAGCUAAUUAAGCAAGGCAUAAGCAACUAUAAUCUCUAAUUGUCAUUGCAAACAUGUUUAUUCAUAAUAGGCUGAAUCAAGAACGAUGAACUAAUCAUAUUUAAAAAACAAGAGAAUUUGAGUUCAUACCAGCUUUUCUCAUCUCAAUAAGUUCAUCAUAUAAUCAUCAUUAUUGCCUUUCACUUGCACGACCGAACGAUGUGAAUAAUAAUAAUAGUGCACAUGCAUUGGACUAAGCUAGAAUCUGCAAGCAUUCAAUUCAGGAGAGAAGACAAGGUAAUAUGGGCUAUUUGUUAGAUCAAUCAAUAAUGCAUAUAAGAGCCACUUUAACAUUUUAAUUAUGGUCUUCUCCUCUCGACCCCAAAGAAAAUAAAUAAAACUAUUUACACGAGAAAGCUCCCAACAAUCAAAAAGAAGAACGAGAAAUCUUUUUAGGUUUUCUUUUUAGUUAUUACUACUACAACAUGAAAAGUAACUAAUUAAAAUCUACAACUAAUUUUUUUGUUUUUCUUAAGGUUUAUUAAACACAUAAGAAGAAAGCAUAAAAAGGAAAUUAAACUAGCAUGGAUGAUACAAUGAAAAAGUAUGAGCACCGACAACUAGCAUGAGUGUGUGAACAUGAAUGUAAUGUUGGUGAGAAAUACGUACUCCCCCAAGCUUAGGCUUUUGGCCUAAGUUGGUCUAUGGCCACGGCUGGCCUGGUGGAUAUCCAAAGUUAUAGCCGGGGUCGUACUGAGAUGCAACAGCUAUUGCCUCAUGAGCUGCCACUUGGAGACGGGCCGUCUCCGCCCUCCUCUUAUACUUGUCCGCCUCCUCCCUGGUUAUAACAUAUCUCCCUUUUGCCUGAGAGUCAAAGAAAGCAGGAGCAGGGAGAGCGACGUGAUAGGUGCGUCGUCUGCCAAAGAUUAGUCGGUACCGGAGGAACUGAUCGUUCCUCUCAACAAACUGAUGACGAACCAUGGCCUCAUAAUCUAAAUAAAUAGGAGGCAACUCAAUAUCAUACCCACGUAUGGGUAUAUCAAGAAAAUUAGCUAGACGGGUUGCAUAAAUUCCACCAAAAAAUCUCCAUUAAAUCUAUUAUUAUGAAACCUAUGUGCAACAAUGGCUACCAAAUUAUAAUGUUUAUCUCCUAAUACAGCACUCCUGAGAACACUGAGGUCAGGGACACACAUGUGACAUGCUUCAUCCUUACCAUUUUUGCACCUACCUAUGAAGAGAGCAAAAUAAUGUAUAGCAGGAAAAUGAAUGCUCCCUAUGGUAGCUUGUGUUAUAUCUCUAGAUUCCCCCACAGUUAUACUAGCAAGAAAAUCUCUAAACUCAGAUUUGCGAGGCUCACUAGUGCUGCCCCAUUGUGGAAGUUUGCAAGUAGUAUUAAAAUCCUCUAAGUCCAUAGUAUAAGAAUUUUCAUAAAGAUCGAAUAGGACAGUUUGAGAAUUACGUGAUGAUGAAAAUUCAAACCUUCUCACAAAGGAAUCAGUGAGAUAGUGGUAUUGGUGGCACUUAUCUGCCUCAAAGCUCUCAAGAUCGGCAUUACGCACAUACGCGUUAAAUUCUUCAUUGAUUCCUGCUCGAUCCAUAAAGUCCUCUGACGGACAUUCACAAGCCCGCACCUGAGCUUCCCUCGGUGGUUCAUCAUCGGCAUCGCGUAUUGCGAGCCUGGGUCAUUGCAUCCUUGAAGAACCACCUUGGUACAUUUUUCUAAACAUAUUUCUUCCUCUGAAAAAUUUCUGAAAUUUUAGUAACUUCAAAAUAAAAGUGAACCAAACUCAACAAAAUUGAUAGCAACUACUCCCACAAGUGCCUAGAGACUAUAUCAUGCAUCAAAACUACUUUUGACCAUAUAAAUUUGACAUGCAAGCUCAAGAACAGGGUCACCUAAGCAGCAAAAAUAUGCAAUGAAUAAAGCACUAGAACAAAAACUAAUUGGACCAUUGGAGGAGUCACAUACCAAGGAACAAUCCCCCAAAGCAGUUUUGUUAGAGGUGCUUUGAGCAAGGAGAUUGAAAAUGGCAGCAAGAUGAGCUUGGACUCGGGUUUGAGCUGGCUAGUCGUGUUUGUGGGAGGAAGAAGGAGUGUGUGGUAGCUGGAAUAAGUGGAGGGGAGUCACCAUGGGCCCACGAGGCAGGGGGUGCACCCUCCACCCUCGUGGCCAGGUGCUUGCUCCCCCUGCUGUGUUUUCAGUGCCAGAUAUUCUCAAAUAUUCUAGAAAAAAUCAUAUUUAAUUUUCAGGGCAUUUGGAUAAUUUUUAUUUUUGGGGUAUUUUUUAUUGCAUGUAUAAUUCAGAAACACACAUAAAUUACUAUUUUUGCUUUAUUUAAUAUAAAUAACAGAAAGUAAAAAGAGGGUACACAGAGUUGUGUUUUCUAAAUUCAUCCAUCUCAUGCUCAUCAAAAGGAAUCCACUAACAAGGUUGAUCAGGUCUUGUUAACAAACUCAUUCCGAAUAACAUGGAACAGGAGAAUUUUCGAAUAACACUAGGUUACCUCAACGGGGAUAUGCAUGUCCCAACAAUAAUAAUAUCAUAUUUCUUCUUGACAGUAGGAAGAGGAAAUUCAAAACCUCCAAUAGUAAUAGUUGAAAUUUUUUCAAUAGAAUUGAUACUGUGGACUUGAGGUUGUUUCCUCGGAAAGUGUACCGUAUGCUCAUUACCAUUAACAUGAAAAGUGACAUUGCCUUUGGUGCAAUCAAUAACAGUCCCUGCAUUAUUCAAAAAGGGUCUUCCAAGAAUAAUAGACAUACUAUCGUCCUCAGGAAUAUCAAGAAUAACAAAGUCCGUUAAAAUAGUAACGUUUGCAACCACAACAGGCGCAUCCUCACAAAUACCGACAGGUAUAGCAGUUGAUUUAUCGGCCAUUUUCAAAGAUAUUUCAGUAGGUGUCAACUUAUUCAAAUCAAGUCUACGAUAUAAAGAGAGAGGCAUAACACUAACACCGGCUCCAAGAUCACAUAAAGCAGUUUUAACAUAGUUUCUUUUAAUGGAGCAUGGUAUAGUUGGUACUCCCGGAUCUCCAUGUUUCUUUGGUAUUCCACCCUUAAAAGUAUAAUUAGCAAGCAUGAUGGAAAUUUCAGCUUCCGGUAUCUUUCUUUUAUUUGUCACAAUUUCUUUCAUAUACUCAGCAUAAGGAUUCAUUUUGAGCAUAUCAGUUAAUCGCAUACGCAAAAAGAUAUGUCUAAUCAUUUCAGCAAAGCGCUCAAAAUUCUCAUCAUCCUUUUUCUUGGAUGGUUUGGGAGGAAAAGGCAUGGGUUUCUGAACCCAUGGUUCUCUCUCCUUACCGUGCUUCCUAGCAACAAAGUCUCUCUUAUCAUAAUGUUGAUUCUUUGAUUGUGGGUUAUCAAGAUCAACAACAGGUUCAAUCUCUACAUCAUUGUCACUACUAGGUUGUGCAUCAACAUGAACAUCAUCGUUAACAUUAUUACUAGGUUCAUGUUCAUUACCAGAUUGUAUUUCAGUAUCAGAAAUAGAAAUAUCAUUGGGAUUCUCAGGUGUGUCUACAACAGGUUCACUAGAAGCAUGCAAAGUCCUAUCAUUUUUCUUUUUCUUCUUCUUAGAAGGACUAGGUGCAUCUACAUUAUUUCUCUGAGAAUCUUGCUCAAUUCUCUAGGAUGGCCCUCAGGAUACAAAGGUUCCUGAGUCAUUUUACCACCUCUAGUCAUAACUCUAACAGUAUUAUCAUUCUUAUUAUUUAAUUCAUUGAGCAAAUCAUUCUGAGCUUUAAGUACUUGUUCUACUUGAGUGGUAACCAUAGAAGCAUGUUACUAAUAAGUUUUAGUUCACCUUUAACAUUAGCCAUAUAAUCACUCAAGUGUUCAAUCAUAUAAGCAUUAUGUUUCAAUUGUCUACCAACAUAAGCAUUGAAAUCUUCUUACUUAAUCAUAAAGUUAUCAAACUCAUCUAAGCAUUGGCUAGCAAACUUAGUAAGAGGGAUUUUAGCUUUAUCAUAUCUAUAGAGAGAAUUUACCUUUACUACCUGUGUCGGGUUAUCAAGACCAUGAGUUUCUUCAAUUGGUGAUGGAUUAAAACCAUGUAUUUCUUCAACAGGCGGUAAACUAAGACCAUGUAUUUCUUCAAUAGGAGGUAAAUUCUUAACAUCUUCAGCUUGUAUACAUUUUCCUUCAUAUAUUUCUUUGCCUCUUGCAUAUCUUCAGGACUGAGAAAUAGAACGCCCCUUUUCUUCGGAGUUGGCUUAGGAGUUGGCUCAGGAAGUGUCCAAUUAUUUUCAUUAGUCAACAUAUUAUUCAAUAGAAUUUCAACUUCAUUUGGUAUUCUUUCCCUGAAAACACAACCAACAUAACUAUCCAGGUGGUCUCUGGAAGCAUCGGUUAGUCCAUUAUAAAAGAUAUCAAGUAUUUCAUUUUUCUUAAGAGGAUGAUCAGGCAAAGCAUUAAGUAAUUGGAGAAGCCUCCCCCAAGCUUGUAGGAGACUCUCUUCUUCAAUUUGCACAAAAUUAUAUAUUUCCCUUAAAGCAGAUUGUUUCUUAUGAGCGGGGAAAUAUUUAGCAGAGAAGUAAUAAAUCAUAUCCUGGGGACUACGCACACAACGAGGAUCAAGAGAAUUAAACCAUGUCUUAGCAUCACCCUCUAAUGAGAAUGAAAAUAUCUUAAGGAUAUAAUAGUAGCGAGUUUUCUCAUCAUUAGUGAACAGGGUAGCUAUAUCAUUUAAUUUAGUAAGAUGUGCCACAACAGUUUCAGAUUCAUAGCCAUGGAAAGGAUCAAAUUCAACUAAAGUAAUUAUCUUAGGGUCGACAGAGAAUUCAUAAUCCUUAUCAGUAACAAAGAUAGGUGAAGUAGCAUAAGCAUGAUCGUAUUUCAUUCUAGCAUUCAGAGUUUUUGUUUCAGCUUAGCUAAUAAUUUCUUAAGAUCACUCCUAUCAUUGCAAGUAAGAAAAUCUCUAGAAGUUUCUUCAUCCAUAACAUAGCCCUCAGGCACAACAGGUAAUUCGUAUCUAGGGGGAGAAUCUUCAUAAUCACUUUCAUCAAUAUUAUCAGUUUCAAUAAUUUCAUUCUCUCUAGCCCUAGCAAGUUGUUCAUCAAGAAAUUCACCAAGUGGCAUAGUAGUAUCAAGCAUAGAAGUAGUUUCAUCAUAAGUAUCAUGCAUAGCAGAAGUGGCAUCAUCAAUAACAUGCGACAUAUCAGAAUUAAUAGCAGAAGCAGGUUUAGGCGUCGCAAGUGUCGGUGUCAAAACCGGUAGAUCUUGGGUAGGGGGUCCUGAACUAUGCGUCUAGGAUCGAUGGUAAUAGGAGGCAGGUGACACAAUGUUUACCCAGGUUCGGGCCCUCUCUAUGGAGGUAAUACCCUACGUCAUGCUUGAUUGAUAUUGAUGAAUAUGGGUGUUACAAGAGUUGAUCUACCAUGAGAUCGUAAUGGCUAAACCCUAGAAGCCUAGCCUAUAUUACUAUGGUAAUGAAUAUAUCCUUUCCAGACUAACCCCUCCGGUUUAUAUAGACACCGGGGGGAUCUAGAGUUUACAUAGAGUCGGUUACAUAGGAAGGAAUCUUCAUAGUCGGUCGCCAAGCUUGCCUUCGACGCCAAGGAGAGUCCAAUCCGGACUCAGGUACAGUCUUCGGCCUUCAUGUCUUCACAGCCCAUCAGUCCGGCCCAAUAGAUAAUAGGCCGGACGCCCGAGGACCCCUUAGUCCAGGACUCCCUCAGCAAGCUUACUCAAAACAGAAGGUGAAUCAAGUGCAGAGCUAGAUGGCAGUUCCUUACCUCCCCUCGUAGUUGAGGGAUAAAUGUUGGUUCUUGGAUCUUUCAAGUUCUUCAUAAUGAUAAGUAGAUAUAAAUCCCAAGUGACUAAAGAAUAGAGCUAUUCUCCCCGGCAACGGCGCCAGAAAAUAGUCUUGAUAACCCACAAGUAUAGGGGAUCACAACAAUUUUUGAGGGUAGAGUAUUCAACCCAAAUUUAUUGAUUCGACACAAGGGGAGCCAAAUAAUAUUCUCAAGUAUUAGCAGCUGAGUUGUCAAUUCAACCACACCUGGAAACUUAAUAUCUGCAGCAAGGUAUUUAGUAGCAAAGUAAUAUGAUAGUAAUGGUAACAGUGGUAAAAGGUAACGGUAGCAAAAGUAAUAUUUUUGGUGUUUUAUAGUGAUGAUAAUAGUAGCAACGGAAAAGUAAAUAAGCGAAGAACAAUAUAUGGAAAGCUCGUAGGCAAUGGAUCGGUGAUAGAGAAUUAUGCCGGAUGCAGUUCAUCAUGUAACAGUCAUAACCUAGGGUGACACAGAAUUAGCUCUAGUUCAUCAAUGUAAUGUAGGCAUGUAUUCCGAAUAUAGUCAUACGUGCUUAUGGAAAAGAACUUGCAUGGCAUCUUUUGUCCUACCCUCCAGUGGCAGUGGGGUCCUAUUGGAAACUAAGGGAUAUUAAUGCCUCCUUUUAAUAGAGUACCGGACCAAAGCAUUAACACAUAGUGAAUACAUGAACUCCUCAAACUAUGGUCAUCACCGGUAAGUAUCCCGAUUAUUGUCACUUCGGGGUUAACGGAUCAUAACACAUAAUAGGUGACUAUAGACUUGCAAGAUAAGAUCAAGAACACUCAUAUAUUGAUGAAAACAUAAUAGGUUCAGAUAUGAAAUCAUGGCACUCGGGCCCUAGUGACAAGCAUUAAGCAUAGCAAAGCCAUAGCAACAUCAAUCUCAGAACAUAGUGGAUACUUGGGAUCAAACCCUAACAAAACUAACUCGAUUACAUGAUAAAUAUCAUCCAACCCAUCACCGUCCAGCAAGCCUACGAUGGAAUUACUCACGCACGGUGGUGAGCAUAAUGAAAUUGGUGAUGGAGGAUGGUUGAUGAUGACGAUGGCGACGGUUUCCCCUCUCCAGAGCCCCGAACGGACUCCCGAUCAGCCCUCCCGAGAGAGUUUAGGGCUUGGCAGCGGCUCUGUAUCAUAAAACACGAUGAAUCCGUCUCUCUAGUUUUUUCUCCCCGAAAGUGAAUAUAUGGAGUCAAGGUUGAGGUCAGUGGAGCGUCAGGGGGCCCAUGAGGCAGGGGGGUGCCCAGGGGGGCAGGCGCGCCCCCACCCUCGUGGACAGGUGGAGGCCCCCCUGACGUGGAUCUUCCUUCCAGUAUUUUCUAUAUAUUCCAAAAUAAUUCUCCAUUGAUUUUCGGUCAUUCCGAGAACUUUUAUUUCUGCACAAAAGUAACCCCAUGGCAAUUCUGCUGAAAACAACGUCAGUCCGGGUUAGUUCCAUUCAAAUCAUGCAAGUUAGAGUCCAAAACAAGGGCGAAAGUGUUUGGAAAAGUAGAUACGACGAAGACGUAUCAGGAAUCUUAGCAAAAACUUCUUCUCUCCCAAAUCCCAAAUCUGCCAUGGCCAUUCUUCGUUCUUGCAAAACACCCCAUUAAGCUGGAUCAGUAACUCUGAGGCAGACACCUCUCCCUUAACCACUUUGAGCACAUCAUAGUUUUUGUAGUUGAGCCAACUUGAUUUUGAUGCCGUGGGCACAUCGAUGUGGUAAAACCCUAGCCUAGACGCUGCACUACCAGAAUAAGUUGCUGUAGGGUGAGGUUUUGCCCAGGUAGCACAAUUAUUGACAUCGUGCCCCCUCGCACAAAUAAAACACUUCUUCGGUUCGAUGCAAUUCCCCACAUAGUGUCCUAGCCAGCUACAAUUGAAACAGGUCAUCCCUUUGUAUUUGGGAUCUAGAGCUUGUACCACAGGAACAGGAGGAAGAGGUGGAACUGGUGCCCCAGGGCCAGCCGCUUGUUGCUGCAUAUUUCCUCGGCUCGCCUGCUUGGGAGGUUGCUGCGCAGGCUUAGCAGCACCUCCUACAACCGGGGCAGCACCUCCUGCAACCAGGGCAACCACCUUCCCAUCCUGCGAAGCAGCCUUCUUCCCUGGCGGCGGCUGGCGCUGCCGUUGCCCACCUGGUCCACGAUCUCUCCCUCCCUUGACCACUUCCACAAACGAUCUAGGAAACCCUAGCCCCUCGGUGGAGAUUUUGAAGAUGGUAGGAGUAGGGUCAAAUCUGCCCACCGAUGAUACUGGAAAACAAUCUUGGGCUGUGAAUUUUCUAGCGCUGAACAAAUCUUUUCUCACCCAAAACAAUUUGGGGAUAGCGAAUUUAGGUUUUGGUGGUGCCUGCCUCUCAAUAUGUAGGCACUUGCGGCGGCUCGGGGAGGGGAUCACCCAAAGUUGCCCCAAAAAAUGUGCCACCUCUUCUCCGUCCCCGCUAAAUGGCUUGGAAGACGUCUUUCUACAGCCCGCCUUCUUCCUGACCACACGACCCACAAUCAACGGUGAUGGGGUUGGGGUCGGACCCGCCAGUGGGACCCUAGAGUUCGAACCCAAUCCCACCCCACUCGCAGAAGCGAGCUCACCGACGCCGAGUUGGCUCGUCAGACCCGGAGAUUUACAAAAAUCUCUCAUCGAUCUAGGGAAAUUAGGUGAGGAAUCAUGCACAAUCUUAUAGGGGAUAACCCUCUCAACCACAUCAACCAAAUUGCCACUCAAAUCACCACGGGAACUCACAAGAGGACGAGGUUUGGUCUGGAAUUUGCUCACCUUGUCAGGAAGAUGCCGGAUCUCUGCGCGGUCACCUGACCAUGGUGGAGGGUCAAGAUAGCGCGCCUCGCCUCUCCCGCGCCUUGCCAAAAGGAUGGGGUAGUCCUGCGAGGCAUGCACGCCGGGCUCCCCCCGAUUCAGGGGAUCCUGGGCAGGACGGUUCCCGGCGUCAGGAACUCUGGUGGUAUGUUGGCGAUCUGCACCACCGCCGGGGGUCGGAUGUUGAGCCUUGACGGAUUCCUUGUCUCGAAUUGCGACCACUUCGCCGCCUACCUCAGAUCCGCCAACUCCGCCUGUUGAAUGGCCCAAAAUAUGAGCUUGUAGUCCAUUCCCCCAUCAUCGCCGGUGAACCGCGCGUGCUCCUCGAACAUCGUGUGUUGGAUGACCUCCACGAGGGUCGCUGGCCAGGUGGAGCGGUUCAGGAAGCGUUCAAUCAGCACCCGAAUCAUCUUCGCAUGCACCUCCGGCGUCCCCCGCUCGGUCAUCGGCAACUGCGACACCGGCAUCGACGGCUGGGACACCAUCGGCGUAGCCACCUGGUGGCUGGGCCGCACCCUUCGUGCCCUCGCUCCCCUUCUCGCACCCCCACCAUCUCUAGCACUUGACUGGGCCAUGGGAUCCGACGAAAAGUGGCCGCCAGGGGAGAGAUGUGUUCGGGCAGGAUGAGAGGAGGGGCUAGAUAAGCUCGCGCUACCAUUAACAACGGUGGUUGCGGCACCAUUAGUCUCGUUAGGUGAGGCGGAGGGCGCCAUCUAUACACCCAUCUAUUCAUGGACAGAAUCCUUGAUCCCAACAGCACCCACAACUUUCAAAAUUUCCCCAGAAAAUUAAGAUACCUAGCGAUGCUGAAUUUUCUUGACGGUGUGAACUGCCUUAGCUUUCUAUCACUUUCUAUGCCCCAUGUUCUAUUUACGUCUGCUAACUCUCAGUCUGAUAAACCUGCUACUGGUAGGUUUUGUUCAUGACUGUAUGUCUAUGUACUUUCUGUCAGUUGGAGUAUAUUAUCCUUGGUGAUACUAAUGUUUCUGCCUUUCAACGUGAAAAUGAAGUUAUCUUUAGCAGUCGCAACAACCUAGGGGAGCACCGACAUUUUGUGGGAGUGGCAAACAGAUCAUAGGCCAUAUAAAGCACCAUUAAAUCUAAACACGUCUAUUCUAUUUCAGAAGUAGACCGGUUUGUUAGUUUCACCUGUCAUGGUUUCUUGCACAACUAUAAAAAACACUCAUUUGCAUACAACAAGACACCAGAGAUAUAGUUUAAUUGGCUUCUUGCGCCAUACAGACGCAUCUCGUAUAACCAAACUGAGCCACAAAGCAGAUUUUUCAUGAGGUGAAAAAUAUUCGUCCAUACAAAUUCAUCAUUAUACAAGUAGGUGAAGGAAUGAAAAUAGGAAGAAAAAAGUGUUGGCCGACCUCAACAGUCUACUUAUUACUGCUUGGAGGGGUCGAGGACGUGCCCCGCAAAGACAACAGCUCUGGUCGCCUCCUCCACUAUGUAGUAGGCAAACGGAUGGUCAGUGAUGAAAUCCACGCGUGGAGGUGAUGGCAUUGCGCAUCCAAGACCCUGGACGACCAUGGUGGCAGUGGCGGCUUCAGUCCCUUCCUCGUUUACCUCGACGAUGGCCUUGUGGAUGAAAUCAUCCACCACUAUCCGCAAGCCAGAGCCAUCAUCCUCCCCAUGUCCGACAGGUUGCCCUGCUUGCAGAACAGGAGCUCAAGCCCAAGCUUCUUGAGGACGGUGACAACGCUGCUGUGGAAGGACAACUUGAACUUUGGCAUCCAGAAUUCGCGGAGAGCAAUUUGUUGCUCAAGCAGGUGGUCGUGCAGGAACCUAGGCCGGGACGCCAUCGUGCCUAGCAGCCCCCACAGGCCAUCAUGGGCAACCGGGAGGAAGAUGCACAUGGAGAACUGCGUGUGCCCGGUACGAUUGGAGCCGGAGUGCACCCACAGAGCAGCACCCUGGGAUGGGUAGGCAUUGCCUGCCCACGGAUCAAGCACGUAGCGGUUUCCAAAUGCAUUAUGGCAGGGGAAAUAGGGUUUAUGAGGGUGGCCAGUCGGACCAACACGACCAAAUGGAACCUGGAGGGCAUAUGGUGGAUUAGGAGGGUAGCCAAACCGACCAAGUGCACCAUAUGGAUAUGGCCUAGGAUGGGUGUACGGAGAGAAGGGGAUGCUGGCCUAGGGAGGGGGGUCGUGACGACGAUGACGAAAGUAUGGUGGGGGUCCCGUGGGAAGAUAAUUUGGAGAUGGACCCCCAUCGUUGUACGCAUCACUCACAUGGCAAUGGACAUAGGGAGCACCAUGGCCGUGGACGCCAUGGUGACCAUGGCCCAAAGGAGGAGGGGGCGCCUGUUCCAGUGUGGUGCCCUCGUGAUCUGGCGUCGUCAUCUUGUACCGGAGUUUGAGCACCUUGAACCCAUCAUGCAUGGCGACGAACCGCGGCUUCCAACUCUGCAUGAACCACAUGUUAACUUGGCUGCAGUCGAGCCGGCAGAAGGGUUUGUGCGCGGUGUGCCUCCUGUCGAAUGACCGGUCCUCCCACUUGCCCUUAGCGUACAUGGCGUUGCCGAGCACGACCCGAGUCGUCGUCGGAUAUAUCGAUCUAGGGGGAGGACGGAGUCGAUGAGGUUCCUCGUCACCUGAGCCGCCCACGCGUUGAUCUGGUGGCGCGCUUCCUCCGGCGUGCCGCAGAAGUUGAUGGUGCUCGCCUCGGCCUUGUACGUGCCCACAACGGCUAAGCGGAAGGCCAGCUUCAGCGGCCGCGUCAGGUCGCUCCACACGCCACAUGCGGACGCCGUAAGGGGACCGCCUGAGGCCGACCUGUCUUGGAGCACGCCCGCCGCCAUGCGAGACAUGAAGUUCUCGAGCUCGUCGUGUGUCCGCACACCGAGGACGCGUAGGAUCUCGUCCAGUGUGGCAUCCCUGGCGCCGGUGGCCAGGAGCAACAGGGCUGUGGAGAUGGACAUUGGCGAGAAGAUUAGGUUGUCAUUCAUGCUCCCCUCGGUGAGGCACCUCGCGAGCCCGGCGGCGACCGCUGCCAGGCCGCCAGAGCCAGAACUCCCCAUCGAUGCUACUACAUUGGACUGCUGAUAACCCACAAGUAUAGGGGAUCACAACAGUUUUCGAUAACUAAGAGUGUCGAACCCAACGAGGAGCUAAAGGUAGAACAAAUAUUCCCUCAAGUUCUAUCGACCACCGAUACAACUCUACGCACACUUGACUUUCGCUUUACCUAGAACAAGUAUGAAACUAGAAGUAUUUUGUAGAUGUUGUUGGAUAGGUUUGCAAGGUAAUAAAGAGCAUGUAAAUAAAAAGUAGGGGAUGUUUAGAUAAAGACACAACUAAGUUAGUUUUAGUAAAGAGCUUUUUGUUACGAGAAAGUUAUUUGUCCCUAGGAAAUCGAUAACUAGACCGGUAAUCAUUAUUGCAAUUUUAUUUGAGGGAGAGGCAUAAGCGAACACACUUUCUCUACUUGGAUCAUAUGCACUUAUGAUUGGAACUAUAGCAAGCAUCCGCAACUACUAAAGAUCAUUAAGGUAAAACCCAACCAUAGCAUUAAAGUAUCAAGUCCUCUUUAUCCCAUAAGCAAACAACCUACUUACUCGGGUAUGUGCUUCUAUCACUCACGCCACCCACCAUAAGCAAAUCAUGAACAUAUUGCAAACUCUACAGCGGGAAUCCCUCACGCUUGCGCGACACAGAGAGCACCAUAGGACAACACCAAUAAUAAAACAUGCAACUCAAACCAAUCACAAUCAUCAAUUAACCCAUAGGACACAACAGAUCUACUCAAACAUCAUACGAUAGCCAUACAUCAUUGGGAAAUAAUAUAUAGCGUUGAGCACCAUGUUUAAGUAGAGAUUACAAUGGGUAAGAGAGAGGUUACACCGCUGCAUAGAGGGGGGAAGAGUUGGUGAUGAUGGCGGUGAAGUUGUUGGUGAAGAUUGCGGUGAUGAUGAUGGCCCACGGUGGCACUCCGGCGCCACCGGAAGCGAGGGGGAGAGAGCCCCCCUCCUUCUUGUUCUUCCUUGACCUUCUCCCUAGAUGGGAGAAGGGUUUCCCCUCUGGUCCUUGGUCUCCAUGGCGUGGGAGGGGCGAGAGCCCCUCCGGGAUUGGAUCUGUCUCUCUGUCUCUCUCUGUGUCUGCGUUCUCAGAUUCUGUCCUUUCACCGUUUCUUAUAUUCCCAGAGAUCCGUAACUCCGAUUGGGCUGGAAUUUUAACACAAUCUCUAUCCGGAUAUUAGCUUUCUUGCGACGAAAGAAGGGCAUCAACCGCCUUACAGGGUGGCCACGAGGGUCAGGGGCGCACCUAGGGGGGUGGGGCGCGCCCCCCUGCCUCGUGCCUCCCUCGGGCACCGUCUCGCGUGGAUUUUUCUUCCCCAAAAUCAUAAAUAUUCCAAAAAAAAUCUCUGUCAGUUUUUAUCCCGUUUGGACUCCGUUUGAUAUGGAUAUUCUGCGAAACAAAAAACAUGCAACAAACAGGAACUGGCACUGGGCACUUGAUCAAUAUGUUAGUCCCAAAAAUAGUAUAAAAAGUUGCCAAAAGUAUAUGAAAGUUGUAGAAUAUUGGCAUGGAACAAUAAAAAAUUAUAGAUACGACGGAGACGUAUCAGCAUCCCCAAGCUUAAUUCCCGCUCGUCCUCGAGUAGGUAAAUGAUAAAAAAGACAAUUUUUGAUAUGGAAUGCUACCUAGCAUAAUCUUGAUCACAUAUCUAAUCAUGGCAUGAAUAUUAAGACACGAGUGAUUCAAAGCAAUAGUCUAUCAUUUGACAUUAAGAUAAUAAUACUUCAAGCAUACUAAUAAAGCAAUCUUGUAUUUUCAAAAUAACAUGGCCAAAGAAAGUUAUCCCUACAAAAUCAUAUAGUCUGGCUAUUCUCCAUCUUCACCACACAAAAUAUUCAAAUCAUGCACAAACCCGAUGACAAGCCAAGCAAUUGUUUCAUACUUUUGAUGUUCUCAAACCUUUUCAACUUUCACAUAAUACAUGAGCGUGAGCCAUGGACAUAUCUCUAUGGGUGGAAUAGAAUGGUGGUUGCGGAGAAGACAAAAAGGAGAAGAUAGUCUCACAUCAACUAGGCGUAUCAACGGGCUAUGGAGGUGCCCAUCAAUAGAUAUCAAUAUGAGUGAGUAGGGAUUGCCAUGCAACGAAUGCACUAAGAGCUAUAAGUGUAUGAAAGCUCAGACUGAAAACUAAGUGGGUGUGCAUCCAACUUGCUUGCUCAUGAAGACCUCGGGCGUUUGAGGAAGCCCAUCAUCGGAAUAUACAAUCCAAGUUUUAUAAUGAAAAUUCCCACUAGUAUAUGAAAGUGAUAACUCAAGAGUCUCUCUAUAUGAAAAACAUGGUGCCGCUCUGAAGCACAAGUGUGGUAAAAGGAUAGUAACAUUGCCCCUUCUCUUUUUUUCUCUCAUUUUUUGUUUUUUUGUUUUUUUGGUGGGCUUCUUUGGCCUCUUUUUUUAUUUGGGCUUCUUUGGCCUCUUUUAUUUAUUUUUAAAGUCCGGAGUCUCAUCCCGACUUGUGGGGGAAUCAUAGUCUCCAUCAUACUUUCCUCACUGGGGCAAUGCUCUAAUAAUGAUGAUCAUCACACUUUUAUUUACUUACAACUCAAUAUUACAACUCGAUACUAGAACAAAGAUAUGACUCUAUAUGAAUGCCUCCGGCGGUGCAUCGGGCUGUGCGAUGAUCUAGCGUAGCAAUGACAUAAAAAAACGGACAAGCCGUGAAAACAUCAUGCUAGCUAUCUUACGAUCAUGCAAAGCAAUAUGACAAUGAUGCUCAAGUCAUGUAUAUGAUGAUGAUGGAAGUUGCAUGGCAAUAUAUCUCGGAAUGGCUAUGGAAAUGCCAUGAUAGGUAGGUAUGGUGGCUGUUUUGAGGAAGGUAUAUGGUGGGUUUAAGGUACCAGCGAAAGUUGCGUGAUACUAGAGAGGCUAGCAAUGAUGGAAGUGUGAGAGUGUGUAUGAUCCAUGGACUCAACAUUAGUCGUAAAUAACUCACAUACUUAUUGCAAAAAUCUAUUAGUCAUCGAAACAAAGUACUACGAGCAUGCUCCUAGGGGGAUAGAUUGGUAGGAAAAAAGACCAUCGCUCGUCCCCGACCACCACUCAUAAGGAAGAUAAUCAAUAAAUACCUCAUGCUCCGACUUCAUCACAUAACGGUUCACCAUACGUGCAUGCUACGGGAAUCACAAACUUCAACACAAGUAUUUCUACAAUCCACAACUACCCACUAGCAUGACUCUAAUAUCACCAUCUUUAUAUCGCAAAACUAUUACAAGGAAUCAAACAUAUCAUAUUCAGUGAUCUACAAGUUUUAUGUAGGAUUUUAUGACUAACCAUGUGAAUGACCAAUUCUUGUCAUCUCUCUAAAUAUAUAUAAGUGAAGCAAGAGAGUUUAAUUCUUUCUACAAAAGAUAUGACCAUGCUCUAACAAAUAUAAGUGAAGCAAAAGAGCAUUCUACAAAUGGCGGUUUUCUAUGUAAAGAGAAACAUGCAAUCCAAACUUCAAAUGAUAUAAGUGAAGCACAUGAAGCAUUCUAUAAAUCAACCAAGGACUAUCUCAUACCAGCAUGGUGCAUAAAAGAAAAGUGAAAACUAAAUGCAAAAGACGCUCCAAGAUUGCACAUAUCGCAUGAACGAAACGAAUCCGAAAACAUACUGAUACUUGUUGAAGAAAGAGGGGAUGCCUUCCGGGGCAUCCCCAAGCUUAGACACUUGAGUCUCCUUGAAUAUUUAAUUGGGGUGCCUCGGUCAUCCCCUAUCUUGAGCUCUUGCCUCUCUUCCUUCCUCUCAUAUCGAGACCUUCUCGAUCAUCGAACACUUCAUCCACACAAAAUUUCAACAGAAAACUCGGUAAGAUCCGUUAGUAUAAUAAAGCAAAUCACUACUCUAAGUACUGUUUAAAACCAAUUCAUAUUUUGUUUUAGCAUUGUAGCUACUGUAGUAUAACUUUUUCAUGGCUUAAUCCACUGAUUUAAAUCGAUAGUUUCAUCAAAACAAGCAAACUAUGCAUCAAAAACAGAAUCUGUCUAAAACAUAACAGUCUGUAAUAAUCUGAACAUUCACCAUUCCUAUGGUACUCCAAAAAUUCUACCAAAAUUAGGAAAAAUAAAAAAUUUGUAUAGAAAGACAGUGCAAAAAAUUUCAGAACCAUUUGGCGGUCGAGCAAAAAAUGUAAAAUCGCGCGCUACAGCCAAAGUUUCUGUCCUACACCGCACAAACCAACAAGCAAUGUAAACAUCCUAAAGGCAAACCUUGGCACAUUAUUUUUAUUUUUAAACUUUAUAAAAGCACACAACAGAAAUAAAUGACUCUCUAAAACUUCCGGGUUGUCUCCCUAGCAGCGCUUUUUUUAAAGCCAUUAAGCUAGGCAUAUAGUGCUCAAGUAAUGGAUCCACCCGAAUCCCAAGGUAUAUCAAAGCCAAUUUUAAUUAGCAAUGAUUUGUAAUUUAGUAGUGAGCACAAAGUAACAUAUAUCAUGCAACAACGAAGUCUAACUCUUCCUAUGCAUCGGCAUGUCAUAAAAGAACAAUUCAUGCACACACAGUAAAGGCCAAUGCAUAGUAUAAACAGUUUCUUACAAUUUUAUCGUAUUGGAAACAUAAAGAGGUGGAUAUAUAGUUCCUCUCUCAUAAUAAUUGCAAGUAGGAGCAGCAAGCACAUGCAUAUUAUAUUCAUCAAAAUCAUCAUGUGUAAUAGUAAAAUGCAACCCAUCAAUAUAAUCCUUAAUAAGUGCAAACUUCUCCGAUAUAGUGUAGUUGGGAGAAUUCAAAAAGAUAAUAGGACUAUCAUGCGUGGGUGCAAUAGCAACAAUUUCAUGUUUAACAUAAGGAACUAUAGCAAGUUCAUCUCCAUGAGCAUAAUUCAUAUUGGCAUCUUGGCCACAAGCAUAACAAGCAUCAUCAAAAGGGAUGUUUCAAGAGAAUCAACGGGAUCAUAACAAUCAUCAUAGCAAUCAUCCUUCGGUAAGCACGAAGGGAGUUUAAAUAAUGUAUGAGUUGAAGAGUUACUCUCAUUAGAAGGUGGGCACGGGUAGCUAAUCCGCUCUUCCUCCUUUUGUUCUUCGCUCUCCUCAUCAUCUUUUUAUCCAAUGAGCUCACAAUUUCAUCAAUUUCUUCUUCCAUAGACCCCUACAAAAUAUUAAUCUCUUCUUGGACAGCGGAGGAGACCUCGAUAUAUGGUUUAACAUAGGCAUUAGACGCAUAAUUCUCAUAACAAUAUUCAAGUAUGGCAAGAUUUUCAAAUUUGUAAAGAGUGGCAUCAUACUUUUCAAUCAAAGAAGCAAUUUCAUAAGCACCCUUAAAAGCAACAAAUUCUUCAAUUUGUUGAACAUCAUAGUAAUUAUAAACACCCUUAGCAUAAGAAGAUACGAUUCCAUUAUCACUAAACAAACAUUGGUAGGGAAGGUGUUUCUUAGGGUCUUCAGAACAACAAGUAAAAUCAUAUAUUUCGCAUAAAUUCCAAGCAUAGCAUUGCAAACGAUGAAUUUGAUCCAGUAAACGUUUCCCUUUUUCAGAUAUGCGGUGUCGCACAUAACAAGCAUGCUCAUCUAAGGAUUUGCCCUCAACUAAUCUAGUUGGGGUUUCAGCACGAGCACAUAGGGAUCAAAGAUGAUCCAAGUAAUAAGCUGCAGGAGUGUGAUAGAUUUUGAGUGGUUUUUCAACCAUUGGUUCAGUAGGUACAACUAUUUUUUUUGGUAUUUUGCGUUUCCUACCCAUAACUAAAGAUAGAAAACAACUAAGAACAACCGAUAAAAAUUACUUAGUGAUAAAGCAAACAAGCACACACGAGAAUAUUCAUCCCACGCUAUGACUCCCCGGCAACGGCACCAGAAAAAGGUCUUGAUAACCCACAAGUAUAGGGUAUCACAACAGUUUUCGAUAAGUAAGAGUGUCGAACCCAACGAGGAGCUAAAGGUAGAACAAAUAUCCCCUCAAGUUCUAUCGACCACCGAUACAACUCUACGCACGCUUGACGUUCGCUUUACCUAGAACAAGUAUGAAACUAGAAGUAUUUUGUAGAUGUUGUUGGAUAGGUUUGCAAGGUAAUAAAGAGCAUGCAAAUAAAAAGUAGGGGCUGUUUAGAUAAAGACACAACUAAGUUUUUUUUAUUAAAGAGAUUUUUGUUACGACAAAGUUAUUUGUCCUAGGAAAUUGAUAGCUAGACCGGUAAUCAUUAUUGCAAUUUUUUUUGAGGGAGAGGCAUAAGCUAACAUACUUUCUCUACUUGGAUCAUAUGCACUUAUGAUUGGAACUCUAGCAAGCAUCCACAACUACUAAAGAUCAUUAAGGUAAAACCCAACCAUAGCAUUAAAGUAUCAAGUCCUCUUUAUCUCAUACGCAAACAACCUACUUACUCGGGUAUGUGCUUCUGUCACUCACGCCACCCACCAUAAGCAAAUCAUGAACAUAUUGCAAACCCUACAGCGGGAAUCCCUCGCGCUUGCGCGACACAGAGAGCACCAUAGGACAUCACCAGUAAUAAAACAUGCAACUCAAACCAAUCACGAUCAUCAAUUAACCCAUAGGACAAAACGGAUCUACUCAAACAUCAUAGGAUAGCCAUACAUCAUUGGGAAAUAAUAUAUAGGGUUGAGCACCAUGUUUAAGUAGAGAUUAUAGCGGGUAAGAGAGAGGUUACACCGCUGCAUAGAGGGGGGAAGAGUUGGUGAUGAUGGCGGUGAAGUUGUUGGUGAAGAUUGCGGUGAUGAUGAUGGCCCCCGGUGGCACUCCGGCGCCACCAGAAGCGAGGGGGAGAGAGCCCCUUCCUUAUUCUUCUUCCUUGACCUCCUCCCUAGAUGGGAGAAGGGUUUCCCCUCUAGUCCUUGGCCUCCAUGGCGUGAGAGGGGCGAGAGCCCCUUCGGGAUUGGAUUUGUCUCUCUGUCUCUCUCUGUUUCUGCGUUCUCAGAUUCUGUCCUUUCACCGUUUCUUAUAUUCCCAGAGAUCCGUAACUCCGGUUGGGCUGAAAUUUUAAUACAAUCUCUAUCCGGAUAUUAGCUUUCUUGCCGCGAAAGAAGGGCAUCGACCACCUUACAAGGUGGCCACGAGGGUCAGGGGCGUGCCCAGGGGGGUGGGGCGCACCCCCCUGCCUCGUUCCUCCCCCGCGCACCGUCUCGCGUGGAUUUUUCUUCCCAAAAAAUCAUAAAUAUUCCAAAAAAAAAUCUCCGCCAGUUUCUAUCCCAUUUGGACUCCGUUUGAUAUGGAUAUUCUUCGAAACAAAAAACAUGCAACAAACAGGAACUGGCACUGGGCACUGGAUCAAUAUGUUAGCCCCAAAAAUAGUAUAAAAAGUUGCCAAAAGUAUAUGAAAGUUGUAGAAUAUUGGCAUGGAACAAUAAAAAAUUAUAGAUACGAUGGAGACGUAUCAACUGCACCGACAAGUUUCUGGUCACCGGCUAGUUUCUGGUCAUCGGUAACUCGAAUCCUCUAUCAUGUAGCCGAUGGUCGUUAAGUGCACCCUGUUGUUUGUGUUGCACAAUCUGCACCGGGUCAUUGCCAUUGCAAGGGUCGACGACAUGCCCAGCAAACAUGAUCGCACCGUAUGCCUCCUCGACUAUGAAAUACGCGAAAGGAUGGUUGGCGACGAAAUCCACCCUCAACUCCGGCGUCAUCAUGGGAGCACAUCCAUACUCCGCACUCAUCAUGGUGACAGACGCAGCUUCCGUCCCUUCCUCGGUGACCUCGAUGACAGCCUUAUGGAUGAGCUCUCGAACAACCAAAGGCAAAGUGGUCCCGUUGUGGUCCACCAUGUCCAACAGGUCAGAACCCAUGCCGAACGGCAGAAUGAGCCCUAGCUGUUUGAGGGUUUCAACGACGCUGCUCAAGUAAUCAAGCUUGAACUUGGGAACCCUGAAGUCAACAACCUUGACGGAGCCCACUGGCAGGUGGUCGUACACGAAGCCCGGACGGGAGGUCAUCUCGUCGAUGAGGCCCCAAAGGCCGUCGUGUGCGUCCGGCAGGAAGAUGCACAUAGAGUAUCGUGUGAGUGGCUUGAAGCUUGCCGUCGACUCGCACGAUUGAUAUCCUCGCUGCGACAUCUUGUACGACAAUGCGAGCACCUUGAACCCGUCGUGCACGGCGACGAGGUGGCGGGCGGAGUUGCACAUGAAGGGCACGUCGACAGUGGCUCCGUCGCGCCGGUGGAACGGCCGGUCCUUGGUGUCCUGUUAGAAAAUAAACCACAGAUGUGUCAUGACGGUGUGCAGCAGGCGCAACGAGCAACCUGGCAUCCGGGUCGUGCGGACGAGCGGACCAGGCUCAUGAUCAGGAGAAGACCGGAUCGUUAGGGAUGCAUGCGCGGGCUGCCGUGAGCGUUGCGUUGUGUGCGAGCUAGUUGCAUGCAUCCGAUGGAUAUGGACGUGCAUGUAGACUAGUUAGUUGGUUAGUGGCCGGCUCAUGUGGUAGUGGCCGGUGCGAGCAUGCGUGCGUGGGGUGUGUGGCCGCUGGCCUGUGUGUGCAGUUGGGUAUAAAAGGCCCCCUGAUGUACUGUUUGCGGUGCACUGGUAUGAGCCGAUCCUAGGAUCCAGAUAUGAUGUAGUCUCUGCUGGGACCGUGCUAUGCGCCCGAUUGGCUGUGAGAGAGCUCCUCUGGGUAGGCUGCCGUGUGUUUCCGCGCCCGGGUAUGUGCCUAGUAAAGUGAGGCCGUUCGUGCGGCGGAUGCGUGUGUGCGUCGGAAAAAUGGUGUGCUCCUUCUUCUACCUUCGUUUGUGCGAGUGAGAGAAAGAGAACUAGUAUCGGGUUUGUCCCAACAUUUGGUAUCAUGAGCUUGGUUUGUCUUGGGCAUGGUUCACCAUGCCGCAGGCGUGGCGGCGUUCGUCGGCGGACGCGCGGAGCUCCGGGCCGUGUGUACGCUUGUGGAGGUGCUGUUGGGGAACGCAAUAUUUCACAAAUUUUCCUAGCAACGAGAGGGGAGAGUAUGUCCUGAAGGAAAUAUGCCCUAGAGGCAAUAAUAAAGUUAUUAUUUAUUUCCUUAAUAUCAUGAUAGAUGUUUAUUAUUCAUGCUAGAAUUGUAUUAACCCGAAACUUAGUACAUGUGUGAAUACAUAGACAAACAGAGUGUCACUAGUAUGCCUCUACUUGACUAGCUCGUUGAAUCAAAGAUGGUUAAGUUUCCUAGCCAUAGACAUGAGUUGUCAUUUUAUUAACGGGAUCACAUCAUUAGAGAAUGAUGUGAUUGACUUGACCCAUUCCAUUAGCUUAGCACGAUGAUCGUUUAGUUUGUUGCUACUGCUUUCUUCAUGACUUAUACAUGUUCCUAUGACUAUGAGAUUAUGCAACUCCCGAAUACCGGAGGAACACUUUGUGUGCUACCAAAUGUCACAACGUAACUGGGUGAUUAUAAAGGUGCUCUACAGGUGUAUCCGAUGGUACUUGUUGAGUUGGCAUAGAUCGAGAUUAGGAUUUGUCACUCUGAUUGUCGGAGAGGUAUCUCUGGGCCCUCUCGGUAAUGCACAUCACUAUAAGCCUUGCAAGCAAUGUAACUAAUGAGUUAGUUGCGGGAUGAUGCAUUACAGAAUGAGUAAAGAGACUUGCCGGUAACGAGAUUGAACAAGGUAUUGAGAUACCGACGAUCGAAUCUCGGGCAAGUAACAUACGACGACAAAGGGAACAACGUAUGCUGUUAUGCGGUUCGACCGAUAAAGAUCUUUGUAGAAUAUGUAGGAGCCAAUAUGGGCAUCCAGGUUCCGCUAUUGGUUAUUGACCAGAGAAGUGUCUCGGUCAUGUUGCUACCUCUUGAGCACUGCGUUGGUUUUCCCUUGAAGAGGAAAGGAUGAUGCAGUAAAGUAGCGUAAGUAUUUCCCUCAGUUUUUGAGAACCAAGGUAUCAAUCCAGUAGGAGAUCACGUUCAAGUCCCACGCACCUACACAAACAAAUAAGAACCUCGCAACCAACACGAUAAAGGGGUUGCCAAUCCCUUCACGGUCACUUACGAGAGUGUGAUCUGAUAGAUAUGAUAAGAUAAUAUUUUUGGUAUUUUUAUGAUAAAGAGAAAUAAAGAUGCAAAGUAAAAUAAAUGGCAAUAGAAAUAACUAAGUGUUGGAAGAUUAAUAUGAUGGAAGAUAGAUCCGGGGGCCAUAGGUUUCACUAGUGGCUUCUCUCAAGAUCAUAAGUAUUACGGUGGGUAAACGAAUUACUGUCGAGCAAUUGAUAGAAUUGAGCAUAGUUAUGAGAAUAUCUAGGUAUGAUCAUGUAUAUAGGCAUCACGUCCGUGACAAGUAGACCGAAAUGAUUCUGCAUCUACUACUAUUACUCCACACAUCGACCGCUAUCCAACAUGCAUCUAGAGUAUUAAGUUCAUAAGAACAGAGUAAUGCUUUAAGUAAGAUGACAUGAUGUAGAGGGAUAAACUCAUGCAAUAUGAUAUAAACCCCAUCUUUUUAUCCUUGAUGGCAACAAUACAAUACAUGUCGGUUCCAUUUCUAUCACUGGGAUCGAGCACCGCAAGAUUGAACCCAAAGCUAAGCACUUCUCCCAUUGCAAGAAAGAUCAAUCUAGUAGGCCAAACCAAACUGAUAAUUCGAAGAGACUUGCAAAGGUAAACCAACCAUAAAUAAAAGAAUUCAGAGGAGAAUCAAAUAUUGUUCAUAGAUAAUCUGGAUCAUAAACCCACAAUUCAUCGAAUCUCGACAAACACACCGCAAAAGAAGAUUACAUCGAAUAGAUCUCCAAGAAGAUCAAGGAGAACUUUGUAUUGAGAUCCAAAGAGAGAGAAGAAGUCAUCUCGCUAAUAACUAUGGACCCGAAGGUCUGAAGUAAACUACUCACACAUCAUCCGAGAGGCCAUGGAGUUGAUGUAGAGGCCCUCCGUGAUCAAUGCCCCCUCCGGUGGAGCUCCGGAAAGGCCCCAAGAUGGGAUCUCUCGGGUACAGAAGGUUGCGAAUGUGGAAUUAGGUUUUCAUGGUGCUCCUGGAUGUUUUUGGGGUACGUGGAUAUAUAUAUGAGGAAGAAGUACAUCGAUGGAGCAACGAGGGGCCCACGAGGGUGGAGGGCGCGGCCAGGGGGGUAGGCGCCCCCCCUGCCUCGUGCCCUCCUCGAUUGUUUCUUGACGCACACUCCAAGUCUCCUGGAUCACGUUUGUUGAGAAAAUCACGUUCCCGAAGGUUUCAUUCCGUUUGGACUCCGUUUGAUAUUCCUUUUCUUCGAAACCCUAAAAUAGGCAAAAAACAACAAUUUGGGCUGGGCCUCCGGUUAGUAGGUUAGUCCCAAAAAUGAUAUAAAAGUGUAAAAUAAAGCCCAUUAACAUCCAAAAUAGAUAAUAUAAUAGCAUGGAGCAAUAAAAAAUUAUAGAUACAUUGGAGACUUAUCAAGCAUCCCCAAGCUUAAUUCCUGCUCGUCCUCGAGUAGGUAAAUGAUAAAAGUAGAUUUCUUGAUGUGGAAUGCUUUCUAACAUAUUUCUCAAUGUAUUUUUUCUUUAUUGUGGCAUGAAUGUUCAGAUCCAUAAGAUUCAAGACAAAAGUUUAAUAUUGACAUAAAAAUAAUAAUACUUCAAGCAUACUAACUAAGCAAUAAUGUCUUCUCAAAAUAACAUGGUUGUCGGUGUCAAAACCGGCGGAUCUCGGGUAGGGGGUCCCGAACUGUGCGUCUAGGCGGAUGGUAACAGGAGGCAGGGGACAAGAUGUUUACCCAGGUUCGGGCCCUCUUGAUGGAGGUAAAACCCUACGUCCUGCUUGAUUGUUCUUGAUAAUAUGAGUAGUACAAGAGUUGAUCUACCACGAUAUCAGAGAGGCUAAACCCUAGAAGCUAGCCUAUGGUAUGAUUGUUGUUGUCCUACGGACUAAAACCCUCCAGUUUAUAUAGACACCGGAGGGGGCUAGGGUUACACAGAGUCGGUUACAAGGAAGGAGGUCUACAUAUCCGUAUUGCCAAGCUUGUCUUCCACGCCAAGGAGAGUUCCAUCCUAACAUGGGACGAAGUCUUCAAUCUUGUAUCUUCAUAGUCCAACAGUCCGGCCAAAGGAUAUAGUCCGGCUGUCCGGAUACCCCCUAAUCCAGGACUCCCUCAGUAGCCCGUGAACUAGGCUUCAAUGACGAUGAGUCCGGCGCGCAGAUUGUCUUCGGCAUUGCAAGGCGGGUUCCUCCUCCGAAUACUUCAUAGAAGAUUUUGAACACGAGGAUCGUGUCCGGCUCUGCAAAACAAGUUCCACAUAUCACCGUAGAGAGAAUAAUAUUUCCAUAAAUCUAAUCUGCUGAUGUACCCUGUAGUGUGACAUCACACCACAGCCAGGUCUUUAUUCGAAUCAUUUUUCAUAACCAAUCUGAGCGUGUUUCGCGAGGUGGUUUCCUUGGCACGUCUUGUCGAAGCAGAAAUCAUGUCCCCUUUAUAAAGGGGACAAGGCCUUUUCCUCUCGAUCUUAAUCGAAUCCGCCUCCCGCCUCGAGUUCCAACACCCAAAGCUCAGGUUUAGGCACUUCGGACCUUCAACUAUGUCCGGAUCCAACCUUCAAGGUCGGUGGAUGCCUUCCUCCAUCACGGAGGAGGACUUCAAGAGGUUGAGAGAGGCCAGAUAUCUGACCGCCGAAAUUUCACAUCAGCUGCCCGCCCGAGGGCAGGUCGUCCCUACUCCCGAACCCAACGAGAGCGUCAUGUUCAUCUCCCACUUCCUCCGAGGACUAGGCCUCGCUCUGGAUCCCUUCGUUAGGGGUCUUAUGUUCUAUUAUGGGCUAGGUUUUCACGAUCUGGCCCCGAAUUCCCUUAUUCACAUCUCGACAUUUAUUGUCGUAUGUGAGGCCUUCCUUCGCAUUACCCCUCACUUCAGCCUGUGGCUCAAGACCUUUGAUGUGAAGUCGAAGAUGAUCGAUGGGCAGCACGCAGCGUGCGGAGGUGCUUUAAUAAGCAAAAUCGCUGACGCUCCAUGGCCUGAGGGUUGCUUCCUAGAGGUGUCCGGAUUGUGGCAGCGGGAGUGGUUCUACAUCACAGCUCCCCGAAGUGCCAAGUGGGUAGUUGCCCCCACCUUUUGCUCAGGCCCCCCACCACAACUGGUGUCAUGGAUCAGCAGGGGGCUGAGCUGGGGUCCAGCCAAGGACGUGCCAAUACUGCAAAGCCGUAUCCGAGAUCUCUUUGAGAGACAUUUCAGUCUGGUUAUGGUAGUGCAAAUUACGCUAGUUCGUCAAGUCCAGCCUUGCAAACGUCAGCCCCUUCGCAUGUGGGAAUUCAACCCAGAAGGACCGCGAGCUAUUCAACAUUUCCUUGGCAUGACGCACGAAGAGAUGUACAAAUUGUUCUUCGGAUCACAAAUAAUGUGUCCGGACAUCACUGAGGAUGCAGGUCUGAGCUGCAAUCGCCCGGAUACCCAAGUAAGUAGCCCCGCAUCGGAACACACUAUCCGUUUAUUUAUCGCAACAUUGCCCUAAAAAAGCCGCUCUUUGACCCAGGAUUGGAUAGCGAAGGCAAAGUUGAUCAGGUGUUCGGCCCCCUCCCUGAGACCUCACCAAAUCCCGUGCUAACCCGGAUGCUGGAGAUCGCGCCUUAUCAAGCGCCCUCAGGAGAAGAUAAAGGGGGGAACAAGGAGGCUAGCGCCUCCGCAAAGGAGGUUAGCCGGGGGGGGGGGGGAGGAACUGGAACUUCCUCUCCCCAGGGAUGGAAGAGAACCGCCUCUGAGGACCCGGAGACAACGGUCUCCAAAUGGGGGAAGAAAUCUCCACCGGAGGGUCCUACCCUGGGGGAUACCCUGGCUGCACUAUGCCCUCAAGGGGAUCAGCCCUCCACCGAGCUGUAAGUAAAAGGGUAAAUGAAAAUAUCUCGCUUUACCUCUGAGGAAAAUAACCGAGGCAUUUAUCUUGCAGUUCGGAUCUUAGCCCUUCUCAGCAGAGCUCGUCUUCAGGGGAUCUUCUUCCAGAGAUGAUGGAGAGCGAAAUGCCUCCCCCUGACACACCGCCUCACGAGGCGGGCGACCCCGAGGUGUCGUCGCGGAGGGUUUCUCCUGAUCCGGCAAGGCCUGAAGGCAAUCCUAUGGCCACCCGAAGUCCUCAGUAUCCGGCUCUUGAAGAGAGCAAUCGAAAGAGUCCGGCACCGUCUGGUGUGCGGUCGGACGUAUUGAGGGAUCUGCUAGAGCAAGCGGCUAUCUCAGAAGAGCACCGCAUGUUGAUGGGUACGGUGAUUGAAAGGAUUUCGUCCGCCGAAAGCGGGUUGCAUGAAUCCUUUAUGAGUCUACUGACGGGUUUUGAGGUACGUGAAAUGAUGUACAUUUUUGACAGUGCCGCACAUUUUUAGAUGUGCCCUGUGUAGAUAGUAUCCCCUCAGACUCUGGUUGUCGUCGAAAACAGUGGAAAACAGAGGAUCAUAGUCCCAGGUAAUAACCAGACCGCCUUUAUGUGCAGGUGGUUGAAGCUCCGGUGGCUAGCCGGACUGAUGGGUUUGCCAAACUAAGGCGGCAACUGGAUGCGGCAGAUGCCAACUUCGUGCUUGUUAACAAGCGGCUUGACGAGGCACAUGGUAAGUGAUUUUUCUGGUGAUUGUCACAUAAUAAGAGCAACAUGAUGCCAGCAUCUUUAAUAUGUUGUGACUACAGAUGGAGCUGCCACCGUGGAGACCCUUCGGGCGGAGCUUGCCCGAGCCAAGGAGCAAGCCAGGAGUAGCAAUGCGGCCGCUUUAAAGGCGGCCGAAGAUUUAAGGGCUGAACAAGCCGCGCAUUGCGAGAGCAAAGAAAAAAUAGCCAAGAUGGCUGUAGAGUUAAAAGAUGCUGCUGACCGUUACCAGCUUCUUGAGGAAGAAAACCGGGCGAAGGCGACGGACCUGGAAAAGGCCCGGGUGGCUGCCAAGGAAGCCCGCUCCAAAAUUAGAGCGACGAAGGAGGAGCUGCAUCAAGCUGUGGAUAUUGUAUCUGGGAAGCCCUUCUUGUUGCGGAGUAAGUUCGGGGAUCCAAAGUAUGCACCUUUGGACCGACUAUGGAGUUCCGCGGACGCCUAUGUGGAUUUGGCUGCAAGUGCCACUGAUGCGGCCGAGUACUUCAAGGAUCGGAAAGAUCACGAAGUGGAAAAACUAUUUUGGUCACAAAUUUCAUGCUCCAGCCCGUCCGCUGCUGUUGAAUGAGCACAUGGCCGAAUGGGCCGAGCUCCAUAGAUUAUCCGGACUUGCCAUGAGGUCCGUUGUGGAUCAUCUGUGACCGGGAGGGCCGAGGCCGAAUAGCUACUUUAGCUUAGUGCAACCGUUCCUUGGUGCUAUGCCACACAUCGAUGCUGUAAAGAGGUCGGCAUGCAUAGAAGGCUCGCAGAUGGCCCUUGCCCGUGUCAAAACAUACUGGGCGGAGAUGGAUGCCACCACUGUUGCGACACAGGGUUCGGCCAUAGGCCGAGUGGCUGCCGAACACUACUUUGAAGAAGUUCUUGAAGGCGCUCAUUUGAUAGAGGCUCAGUGUUCGAAGAAUAUUAUGUUUAAGUGACAUGUAUUCCCAUUGUAAAAACAAUGUUUUAUUGAGUUUAUCAAGGCUGUAUUUAUACUUUUGCCCGAAAGUACUAUGAUGCCUCCUGUGCGGCCGUUUAUGUAUAUAUGUAUAUAACCUGAAAGAUGGCAGUCGUCGGCUUCAGCCCCCACGCAUAUAAUGCGGGGUGUUCACAGAAGACGCAUGUUCACACUUGAUCCAACAUCUUGGUCCAUUAAGGAGGUGAUAGCGCAGCGAACUAGGCAAUCGGACUAUAAUGCUUUAACACUUUCACUUAGCCAGAGGUGUUUGACAGUGGGGCUACUAUAUAGCCCCUAGUGGCUCCAUGCUCAUCCGAAUUCGGGGCGCGUACAUGCCUGGCCGGGAAAGGGCCCUUUGUUAAGGUGGAGGAAUCCCAAAGAUUCCGCUAGGUCAUCGAGUGGUUGACCAGUCUCACGCUAUAUCAUGACAGUCAGUUUUCGGCUUUCUCUACUGAGGUGCUCGCCCGAAUGAACCAGGGCACAAUCGCAGUAGUUCUCCUGGUGCCGCCUUAGCCGAUAGAGCGGAACGUAAGGCAGCAAAACACAGGAGCUGGGCAAACCCAACAUUUGACCAAAGACAUGAUUCGGAGCUGAUGCAUAUAAGGCCAAACUCGCGACGCCGAACACUCCCUAAGGUAUUCGGUCUUUAUGAUGUAAACCGGGCUUAAAUAGUGCCCUUUGUAAUAAGCCCCUGGUGUCCAGGUACGUGCAAUAUUCUGAUGUGGCCACAUGCCAAUAUGUCAGCAUCCUUCUCAAUUGUACUGAGAAUCCGGGGGAUGUGUAUCAAUAAGAGACAGUAAAAAAGGUUUACGCAGGGUCUUAAUCUAAAAAGAUUCCUUUGAAUGGGUCCCUGCUCCACGUCUGCGCCUGUGUCUCCGUUGUGCCAUAUCCUGGACGGGUGUAGCACGAUGGUCAUCUGUAAAAGAGAGGAACUUAGUUGAAAAGUUGUCAUGCAAAAAUGUAGGUUAUACUAAAUAAACCAUGUAUAGUUCAAGAUGAGUAAAGUUGAGCCUAAUUGUCACUUGUUUACACGCAUUGAGCCCCUUGUAUUGUUAUAGGGGUAUAGCCAUCAAACCUGUAUCAAUUACAUAUAGCUGCUCCGGACUCGUCUAACCGCGUCCGUGGUCUUAAUGACCUGUCAGAUGCUCUAGUUGGUGAGGCCGUUUAGUGUGCGGCUGCCAAGGCAGCCGCACGGUCUUCCACGUGCAAGGAGCGCUCAAUAUUUCCAUUUACUGUAAUGAUGCCACAUGGACCGGGCAUCUUAAGUAUGAGAGAAGUGUAAUGCGGUAUUGCGUUAAAGCGAGCGAAAGCUUCGCGUCCGAGUAGUGCUUGAUAGCCACUUUGGAACGGAGCGAUGUGGAAGGUUAACUUUUCGCUGCGGAGGUUAUCGGGAAAGCCGAAGAUAACCUCUAGUAGCAGGGACCCGUACAAUGGGCUUCUGGGCCUGGCGUUACUCCUUUAAAGGUAGUAUUGCUAUGGCUGAUUUUUGUUGGGUCUAUCCCCAUUUUGCGGACUGUGUCCUAAUAUAUCAGGUUUAAACUACUGCCGCCGUUCAUCAGGACUCGUGUGAAGUGGUAUCCGUUAAUUAUCGGGUCUAACACCAAGGCAGCCCAUCCUGCAUGCCGGAUACUUUCCGAGUAAUCCCGAUGGUCAAAGGUGAUCGGUUUGGACGACGAGUGGCAGAACUCCGCGGUGAUAGGCCCUGGGGCAUGUGUCUCUAGGAGUGCCGCUUUGUUUCUCCCCUUCAUCACGUGUAACACGUUUACUGUUUUGACUUCGGGUGGGAAUUUCUUCUGUUCCCCAGUGCUUUGCUUGCGAGGCUCGUCCUCAUCUUCGCUUGGUGUAUCCUGCACCUUGUAUUCGGCGUUGAGCUUGCCGGACUGCUUGAAGACCCAACAUUCUCUAUGGGUAUGAUUUGCAGGUUUAUCGGGGGUGUUGUGGAUCUGACAUAUUUUGUCCAGAAUCUUGUUCAGGCUGGACAGUUCGUCUCUGUUGCCUUUAGAGGGCAACUUUUGUUGACCUGGGCGAGAGCUUCUGAAUUCGGCAUUUACCGCCGUGCUCUUCGGAUUGUCUUCUUUAUUCCGGCGCUUGUUUUUACUGUGUCGUGGCUUCUCGUUUCCGUCCCUGACUUCGGAUGUACUUGGGUCGCUGGCAGAGGCGGAGCCAGGAUUUUUCGAAGCCUAGGGCUAUAACUAAGAGUCUAAGAAAAAGCUAAGACUAGUAUACCACAUAUAUCAAUGCAUGUCAGAUAUAGCCCGUCCCCCGACCCAGCCCCCGUCCCCCGCGUCGCCCUUCCUGGCGGCGACGGGGGAACCCAGAUCCGGCGGCCUUACAACCUUCCCACCUCCCUCCCCACCUUGCCGUCACCGGAGGAACGGCCGGCGAAGCCGGCGCCAGUUCUUGGGAUGGUGGCGGCGGGGCGACUUGGCUGGAUCCAGCACUCCCCCCAAUCUGACCGCUCCCCUUCGGUGGUGAGGGUCCGGAUCUGAGGCGGCGGCCUCGCUGGUGCGGACGGUGCUCCUCCGGCGGCGGGGAGUGCUCGUCGGUGAGGUAGGCCGGUUCCCCUCGGCUGCGCGGGCAGCGAGGUCCCGGUGGGCGCAGGUCAUGGCGCUGGGAGGCCCCGGGCUCCCCUCGUCAGAUCGGUGGCGAUCCUGGUCCGCUCUUGAUGCAUGACCUCCUGCCGGCCUGGAUCUCCGGUGUACACGCGCCUGCUGAUGAUGUGGCUGGUUCGGAGAUGGUGGCAGGGUGCUUGGCCGGGGGAAACCCUUGGCCACCGGUGGCGGUCACGGCGUCGAUGGCGUCCCGGACGCCAUUCCCUCCUUGGUGGCGGCGCCGAGGCUAAACCUCCCCUGCCUCUCCCCUUCCCCUGCGCCCGGGUGAAAACCCUAGCCCCGGUGGCUAAGCGGCGGCGGCGCCACAGUGUCGUCACCUUCUUGAAGGCGCCGACUUGGGCAUGGGGAUGCUGGGUGUGCAUGGCGAGUUUGUCUGGUUCCUGGUGGCGACCCGCCUGAUCUACUGCAUCGCAUCUCCGGGCAUGUCUCGGGGUUGCAGUGCUUCUCUUCCGGCCGUGUCUUCGAUGGGGACCUCUCCCUUCCUCACCUUGUACAUGCCGUGGUGGAGCGGUACUUCAUCUCACUCAUUGAUGGUAGCGAAGAUCGGCGGCAUGGCGCUGUGGAGGCUCGCCGCCUGAUGCGCGGAGAUGGACUCGCGCAGGAGGAGGUUGCUGUCUGGCGUCAUGGUGAUGUCGAUGGUAGAGUGGCCAGACAAGGUAGAAGCCUCAAUAUGAUCUGAAGACGGACCUGUGGAAGAUGGCGGCGACGACACAUGAGUGCGUCUGACCGGAUUGUGCCCCAGACCCGGUAUGUGGCUUGGCUGGGGCUUCCGAAUAUGUUUUGGUUUCCGGCUUUUGAUGUUAGGCUUAGGUGAGUGGUUUGGGUAGUGGCCCAACUAGCACCCCUUCAUCAUUUUGGAUAGGAGUAGCGGCAUGUGUUGCCAAGAUGAUGGAUUCAGGCUCAUUGUUGUAAUACUUUGUAAGGUCAUGAGAAUAAUCAAUAAAGUGGCCGUAUGCAUCUGCCAGAUGCAGAGGCCGGGGGUCAUCCUCCUUUUCUAAAAAAUGUCAUAUAUAGACUACAUAUUCACAUUUCAUAGGAAAUAUGUACUCCAAUAUUAAAUCAAGAGAAAAUUCAUAGAAAUAUGUAAUUAGUUUAACAAAGUGCAUCGUUGCACAAGCUGGUACCAAAGUAAUGAUGGCUUGAUUAAAUUGAUCCCAUUGUUUCGUCAUCAGCAGUAUAAGGACUUGCCCAUGGUUUUGUCAUCAGCAGUAUAAGGGCCUGGAGCUGUGAAGAUAAAAUUCUGUAUUCAAAACAAAAAGACAAUGAACAUAGGCUAAGUCAAUUGUUCAUAACUUUUGAAAACAAGAACAUAAUAUACCGUUAUCUCGAAAAUAAGCACAUGAUGUAAUUGACCGAGUCUGCUACAUGCCUUCGUCUUGGGUUUCUAAUUUGCUGUUGACAACGAAAGAAAAUUGAAUGAAGUUGUACAAUUUACCAAAAUAAAAUCCACUUAGGUUGUAUUCCCCCAGUUUCUAAAUAUAAGCCCGUUUAGAGAUUUCAAUAUGGACUACAUACGAAUGUGUAUAGACAUAUUUUAGAGUGUAUAUUCACUCAUUUUGCUCCGUGUGUUAUCCGUAUUGAAAUCUCUAAAAUGUAUGAUUUAGGAACGGAGGGAGUACAAUUUAGCAAUACCAAGUAAUUGAUUUCAUCUAUGAUACAGAAUAACUAGGGAAAGUAAGUUAGACGGUGCUCCGUCGGUUCUUUUAACUAAAACCACGAUAAAAAUUAUGAAACGGGUGGAGCGUUUUUGGAAUUACCUGUUCAGAGCAUUGGAUAAUUACGAGUAGAAAUAAGUUGGAUGAUAUAUACUAGGAACAGAUUUACUGAAAAUAUAUACUAGAAACAGAGGAAUCGUUGGAUGACUACCUGGGUUAGGUAGCGGGCAGUUGAGAAUUACAGAACAGGAGGCAACCAAGCAGAUCAUUAGGGCUCAGGCGCACAGCAGGGGCUGCUCUGCGAUAAGUGCCGAGCCGCCUUGACGAGGGAUGCAACGCAUCUUUGAUUCAAGGUUCGUUUCCGAUCGGACGAGAUUUUCCUCGAUUAGGCGAGUUGGACGUAUCGCCGGGCUAUUCUUUUUUGUUUAGCGAUUGGUAUGGCAAUCAUACUGGGUGGGUGGAUAUGUUAACGGGCUUAGACUUGCUUGCGGUUGGGUUAGCAGGCCUGGGGCUGGGCCUCUAUAACACCAAAUUCUGAGAAAAAUACAAACAAAUGUAUGUGUACUAACUGGGCCACGCCUGGGGCUAUAGCCCCAGUUGCCCCAGGCCUAAUUUCACCCCUGGUCGCUGGUGCUACAUUGGGCUAACCAGUUGUCCUCGCCCGCGCAAAAGCGGGUCAUGAGGCUUGUUAAUGCUGCCAUUGUUCUCGGCUUUUCUUGGCCGAGAUGUCUGGCAAGCCAUUCGUCUCUGUAAGUGCAUCUAGUGCCCCUUAGUGAUUUUGGUGUAUUGAAGACUUAUAGGUUAAGGGACUAAUGUGUUUAUGAGUGUACAAUUGUCUAUAAGUCCAUGAGGAGUUUGAUAUUUACAGGGAAAGUCGACCCCUAAAAAUGAAGUUCUUCGUCUAAAGACUUUGGUAUUCUGAAGACUUUCUGAAGACUUUGAAAGUGAAGAAAAUGGUGUGACCAUGAAGACUUGGUAUUCAUUCGAGGAACAUGAAGCGUGAAUACUUUUGCGUUCGUAGUUUCAUUUUCUCUUUCUUGAGUCAUAGGAAACACCGUACUGUUAAAGGGGGACAAGGAAAUACUAAGGAAAAAUUUCCAUGUGAUGCUCAACUCAAAAUCCUACACCUACCAAUCCCUUCGAGUGAAGCCAUUGGAAAUCUCAUACAGUUCAGUCAAUUUCUUCAGUGACAGAGACGAAGUUCUUCUGGUCUCUGAGGAAUUUGUUCUGACUGGGGAGUUAGGAAUUCACCAGUGCGGAUUUCCUACACAGUGAGGAACAUGAUAGCCCUGAGAAUUUUGCUACUCAAAAUUCCGACCAUUGCUGUGCUAUGCGCCAGCUGUCCCAAAAUAUCUAACCACCUAACGGUCAUAUCAUUGAAGGGCAUUUAUGUCUUAUCAUGUCGGGCUGCUCCCUAGGCUAUAAAUAGCCGCCCCCCUACAACCACUUGCUGGUUGGCUGCUUCGAGAGAAACUGACACUUGUCAUUUGAGAGCAACCCAUCCUCUGAGGACUUUGAGCGAAAAUCGUCAAGUGAGGAAAAACCAAAAACCCAAAACCCAAACACCUACAAACCCCAAGUGAUUGAGCAUCACUGAAGAGAUUGAUCUUGCGUGGAUCCGACGCUUGUUACCUUUGAAGACUGUGCUUCUUCCAGACGGUUAGGCGUCAUGGUCUAGAGCAUCCAAGAGGAAUUGUGGAUCACCGAGUGACCAAGUUUGUGAAGGUUUGGAAGUCACCUGAAGACUUACCACGAGUGAUUGGACGAGGUUUGUGUGACCUUAGUUCAAGGAGAAUACGGUGAGGACUGGGUGUCCUAAGCUGCGUGUUUAGGACUGGGUGUCCAGGACUGUGUGUCCUCAAGUUUAAAUACUCAGACGCUCCAACCAGACGUACAACUGAGACAGCAAUUGGAACUGGUCUACCAAAUCAUUGUCUUCACCAAGCUUACUGGUUCUAUUCCCUCAACUCUUUCAUUUCCUCAUAACUGUGUUGUGUGUUUGUUCAUAUCUGUGUUUGAAGACUUUGACUGAAGACUUUCUCAAUUUACUCAGUUCAAUUUCUUCAGUCUGUUUGUCUUCAUCCUAUGUUAUCCUGUGAUUACUCUUCCUGUACUCUGUGCCUGUCUUCAUUUCAUCAUGAUGACUAUGCUUGUAUUCUGUUAUGUUUACUUUUGAGUACUUAUUCCGCUACUAGUAGUUCUUCACUAAGGAAUUUCCUCACCGGCAAAUUCCUCAGUGAAGAAUUUCAUAAAAAUCACCUAUUCACCCCCCUCUAGUCGAUAUAACACACUUUCAAUUGGUAUUAGAGCAAGGUACUCCCUUGUUCUGUGUGAUUUUGGUUUAACCGCCUGGAGUUUUAGUUAUGUCGACCGCAGGUAUGACAAAAGUGACAUGCCCCAUCUUUGACGGUCACGAGUAUCCCAAGUGGAAGGCCAUGAUGAAGAAAUGCCUCAUGGCUAUGAACAGUGAGCUGUGGACCAUCACUGAGAUUGGUCUGAUUGAUCUGUGCAAGAUGGCGGAAGCUGAUGACAUUCGCAAGUACACCCUUCUCAACCUCAUGGCGAAGGAUGUCAUCUGCUCCAGUCUGUCACAAAAUCAGUUCAGGAAUAUCAUGCAUCUCGAUCAUGCGAAGCUCAUCUGGGACCAUCUCUCUGAGGUCUAUGAAGGUCAUCGAACCUGUCAUGAUCCUUGGUUUGAGGACUUCAAGGAAUCUCUCAAAGCGAUGACAUUCGAACCAGCAUCAUCAUCUUCUGCAUCAUUCCUUAUGGCAAAAGAUGCUGAGGUAACUGAAUGCUACCUAUCCGAGUCUAGUGAUGAUGAAUCUGGUGAUGAAUUUGGACCCAGCUAUGUCAAACUUGCUUCCCUUGCCACUAAACAACAAAGAGCUUUAAAAAAAGUUCACUAUAUGCUAAACAAGAGCGAUGAUAUGUUGGGUGAAGAAAUGGAUCAGUCAAAAGCUUUGGCUGAAAGUCUUCAGAGACUUCAUACUAAGUAUGACACCCUUCAAGAUCAACAUAACACUCUCUUACCUGAUCAUGAGAAGCUUUCUUAUGAAUUUCUUCAAAGAAAGCAAGACCUUGAGAAGCUAAGAGUGAGUUAUGAAGAUAUUCAGAAGGAGCGUGAUUCAUUACUUGCUCAACAAAUCAGCGCAUCUCAGGAAGAAUUUGUUCCUCCAUGCUUGAAGUGCAUUGAACGUGAAUCUGCUAAUUCUUCACCUGAAUGUUCAAAUGCUGCUAAUGUUUCAAAUUCUUCACAUGCCUCUGCUAUCACUAAUUCCUCAUCUGAGGACAUUGCUAGUAUCACUGACGAUGCAGGGCUGAAGGAAUUGUACACGACACGCAUGUACAAAAGCCUCAAAGGGCAUCAGGCUCUUUGUGAUGUGCUUAAAAAGCAGAUCCUCAACAGGAACCCUAGGAAAGAGGGUAUUGCCUUUGAGAGGAAACUCAAUGCUGAUGGUACAUAUUGGAAGCCUGAGCAGUACCCCAAAACUACAUGGGUUGCUGCAAAGGGACCUCCAGUUGAUCCAUCUAACUUAUCUGGAUUUGCAUGUGAAUCUCCUCGUUCCGAUGACGAGUCAUUUGACUCCAACUAUAAACUAUUCAAAAAUCAGAAUGGUGAAGUAUUUGCUAGAUAUGUUGGCACUAACUGCAGGAACGGCUCCCCUAUGAAGAAAAUCUGGGUUCCCAAAAGAUGCCUUGAAAAUCUUCAGGUGAAUGUCAUCAUGACGCCACCUGUGAAGAAUAGGAACCCCAGAUCAAAUUCUUCAUAUGGACCAAAUAAUUCAUAUGGAUCAAAGUCCUCAUAUGAACAUCAUCGUGCUAACCCGUCUGUUUCGCAGGGAAGAUCUAAGGAUUAUGGAUAUGUGCGUUAUUCUUCAAAUCAUUAUGUCCAUAAGUCCUCGAAGAAUUUCUCUGCAUACUCUUAUGCUUACUCUAACCCCUCUUAUGUGAAACGAAAUGGACUGGCUUCUAUGCCAUCCUUCUCGUAUGGAGCUCGCAGAAUGAUGAACUCUUUUCCACCCCUUCAGAUGUGGGUGGUGAAGAAAAAGAACUAAUCUCUUCUGCAGGGUCUGGUCUCCAGACGUACGUAAUCGUCUGAAGAAUUUGCUGGAGACCUGAGUAUGCCUGAUAGGACGCAGGCUAAUCAUGAAGAAAUGAACUUUCAUUUCUCACGUCCUCAUAUUGCUUUAUCAGUUCUUUUACUUGAUGAAAUUGAUCUAAUGAAUUGAUGUCAUAUUCUUCACUGAUGAAGUAUAUGAGUUUGUAAGCUGCACUAAUUCAUCCGCAGGAUGAUCAACCCAAAGCCACUGAGUGGGUCCUCGAUAGUGGAUGUACAAACCACAUGACUGGUGACAAGAAUCUAUUGAUGGAUGCUCCAUUAUCUCCGUCGCAUCUGAAGCAUAUCAUCUUUGCUGACAAAGGCAAAAGUCAGGUAUUGGGUCUAGGUAAGGUUGCGAUUACAAAGGAUCGACACAUGGACAAAGUCAUGCUUGUUGAGUCCUUAGGAUACAACCUUAUGUCUGUCUCAAUGCUUUGUGAUAUUGAUAUGGUUGUUGUCUUUGGCAAGUACCGUUGUGUUGUGGUUAUGGAAGCUGACAAUUCCAAAGUCUUUGACGGCUUUAGGAGAGGAGACCUGUAUAUUGUUGAUUUCUCUACAGGACCACAACCAGCCGUGUGCUUACUUGCAAAAGCUUCAGAAGGCUGGCUCUGGCAUCGACGACUUGGUCAUGCAGGCAUGAGGAAUUUGCACACGCUUGCGAAGAAGAAGCAUGUCAUUGGCAUCGAGAAUGUAAAAUUCCUCAAGGAUCACCUAUGCGGAGCCUAUGAAGCUGGGAAGAUGACCAAGGCCAAGCAUCCAGCAAAGACUAUCAUGACCACCACUCGCCCAUUUGAAUUUCUUCACAUGGAUCUCUUUGGUCCUAAUCAUUAUUCUACUAUUUCAAAUGAAGCAUCUCAAUAUGGCUUUGUUAUUGUUGAUGAUUAUUCUCGCUACACAUGGGUACACCUUGUUACUUACAAACAUGAAGUGCAGGAAGUCUUCAAACGAUUUUCCUCGAGGGCUUCAACCAACUUUGGUGUGAAGAUCAAGCACAUCAGAAGUGACAAUGGCACUGAGUUCAAGAAUUCUGUUCUCGAUGACUAUCUUGAUGAACUUGGUAUUACUCAGGAGUUAUCUGCUCCUUAUACUCCUCAGCAGAACGGCGUCGUGGAGCGCAAGAACAGGACUCUUGUUGAGAUGGCUUGCACUAUGCUUGAUGAAUAUAAAACGCCGCGUCAUUUCUGGACUGAGGCAAUUGAUACUGUGUGCCACAUCAUCAACAGAGUAUAUCUUCACAAAUUCUUCAAAAAGACUGCCUAUGAACUCUUCACUGAUAAGAAACCCAAUGUAAGUUAUUUCAAAGUCUUCGGUGCUAAAUGUUGGAUUAGAGAUCCUCAUCACAACUCAAAAUUUGCACCGAAAGCACAUGAAGGUUUUAUGCUUGGUUACGGAAAGGACUCGCACACCUACAGAGUCUUCAACAACGUUCUUCACAAAGUUGUUGAAACUGUAGAUGUGCGGUUCGAUGAAACUAAUGGCUCGCAAAGAGAGCACCUACCUACUGUGAUAGAUGAACCAACACCUGAGGAAACUAUCAAGUUCAAGGCUACUGAGGAUGUCAUUCCUACUGAAGAAUCUGCUGAAGAAUUCAUUCCAGAACAUGAAGAACGUCGAGCUAAUGCACCUGAAGAAAAUGCUGAAGAAAAUGAUGCUGAAGAAAACGUUGAUCAAAUUCUUCAACGGCAACCAGCUCAUCCUCGCAUUGCAAAAGAAGUGCAAGUUGAAAAGAUCAUAAAUGACAUCAAAGCACCAGGUCCUCUCACACGCUCAAAAGCUUCACAUUUGUCUAACUUUUGUGGGCACUAUGCUUUUGUCUCUAUUACAGAGCCCACUAAGGUAGAUGAAGCAUUUCUGGAGCCUGAGUGGAUUUAGUCCAUGCAAGAAGAAUUACAUCAGUUCGAGCUCAACAAAGUCUGGGAACUGGUCAAAUGUCCAGAUCCUCGCAAGCACAAUAUCAUCGGCACAAAGUGGAUCUACCGCAACAAGCACGACGAAAAUGGCCUUGUGGUGAGGAAUAAGGCACGACUUGUAGCUCAAGGCUACACACAGGUUGAAGGAAUUGAUUUCGAUGAAAAUUUUGCACCUGUUGCUAGACUUGAGGCUAUUCGCAUAUUACUUGCUUAUGCUAACCAUCAUGAUAUCACUUUAUAUCAAAUGGAUGUGAAAAGUGCAUUCCUCAAUGGUAAGCUUGAGGAAGAAGUAUAUGUUGCUCAACCCCCAGGUUUUGAAGAUCCAAAUAAUCCUGACAAAGUCUUCAGACUCAACAAGGCCCUCUAUGGCCUCAAGCAGGCCCCACGGGCUUGGUAUGAUACUUUGAAGGAAUUCCUCAUGAAGAAAGGCUUCAAACCCGGUUCACUCGACCCUACCCUUUUCACUAAAUCUUAUGAUGGUGAAUUGUUUGUGUGUCAAAUAUAUGUUGAUGAUAUUAUCUUUGGCUGUACUGACCAACGUUAUAGUGAUGAAUUUGCCUAUAUGAUGAGUGAAGAAUAUCAACUGUCUAUGAUGGGAGAGUUGAAAUUCUUCUUAGGUCUUCAAAUUCGUCAACAAUGCAAUGGCAUAUUCAUAUCUCAGGAGAAAUACCUCAAGGAUGUACUGAGGAAAUUCGACAUGCAAGAUUACAAAGGCGUCAAAAUUCCUAUGCCCACAAAUGGCCAUCUGUGCACUGAUGAAAAUGGUAUUGACUUCGAUCAUAAGGUAUACCGCUCCAUGAUAGGUUUACUUAUGUGCAUCUAGGCCAGAUAUAAUGCUUAGUGUUUGCAUGUGUGCCCGAUUUCAAGCUACACCGAAGGAAUCACACCAUAAGGCUGUGAAGCAUAUUCUUCGAUAUCUAGCUCACACACCAACACUUGGAUUAUGGUACCCCAAGGGCUCGGUUUUUGAUCUCAUUGGAUAUUCUCACUCUGACUAUGCUGGUGAUCGUGUGGACCGCAAGUCAACAUCUGGUACAUGUCAUUUCCUCGGACGAUCUUUGGUCUGUUGGUCCUCGAAGAAACAGAACUGUGUAUCACUAUCUACUGCUGAAGCUGAGUACAUUGCCGCUAGUUCUUGCUGUGCCCAAUUGCUAUGGAUGAAGCAAACUCUCAAGGACUACGGCGUCAACAUGAAGAAUGCGCCUCUCUUCUGUGACAAUGAGAGUGCCAUCAAGAUUGCUCACAACCCAGUUCAGCACUCGAAGACAAAGCACAUUCAGAUUCGUCAUCAUUUUCUUCGUGAUCAUGUGUUGAAGGGCGACAUUUCUAUUGAGCAUGUGAAGACUGAAGAAUAGCUAGCCGAUAUCUUCACUAAGCCCUUGGUUGAGAAGAGAUUUAGCAAGUUGCGGUGUGAGCUAAAUAUCCUAGAAUCUUCGAAUGUUCUUUGAAAAGGACACUCAUCCUAACACUUAUGCAAAAUUGAUGACUUAGAUGCGCAACACAUGAAGACACGUUUUUCUUCAAUCAAUGAAGAAUAACACUCUUAGUGUGAAGAAAUUAAUGAAGAAUUUGAUUCUCAGAACCCUACGAUAAUUGUACGCGGUGUCUGAAAUCAUCAUUCUUAUACGGUGGGUCACACCACCACCAAAAGUUGAAAUUCCUCAAAUUAUUCAUAUUCUUCAACUUUGCAUAGUCUUCACUGGUUCCGUCGUUUUUCUUCAUUGGCUAUAUAUAUAUAUAUGAGUUUAUGUCCUCUACAGCAUUCACUUAUUGCUGUUUCUUCAAGUUGGUUUUCUGCUAAGUGAAUGUAAUCGGACCCUUCCCCUCUAUGCUAUACUCAACCCAAUCUGUUCACAAAUUCUUCAUGUGCGUUCUAUUUGAAACUCGUUCAAAAUCUUCACUGUGUCCUUGUCAGCUGAAGAAAUUGCGAAUGGAACUUUAAAACCUAUCUUAUCGAAAUUUUCAGCUUUGCCGCUCAAACCGUUCCGCAUCCCACGAUAUACUUAUACACUCACCCACGAUCUAACACGAUCUCCACCUCUCACUACGUGGGUGAAACAUGUCAUGCGAAUGAGAAGGGUCAGGGGCAUGUUCGUCCAAUUUCUUCAGGCGAGCAAUUUUUCACCGUGGCUAUAAAUACUCCUCCUUCCCUUCCUCACUUCUUUUACUCCGCUCGAUCUCUCUCUAGCUCAAGCUUCUCAAACCCUAGCGCUUCCGCUACUUCAUCACCGCCGGUGAGGAAGCGCUUCACUGCCUCGACCUCAUCGCCGACGUACUCGCGCCGACCGCGGAAAUCUUCACUCCGCCGCCGCCGUAGCCGUCUUCCUCCGCCAAGUUAGGGCGUGGAAGAUCUGCACGGACGAACUUCACAUCUCCUCACUCCAGUUCGUCGUGUUCUUCGUCCAGGGUAAUUAAAAAUUACUUUUGCUACCCUUGUUGAUUCGAAUGAUUAUCUUCAAAAUCUUCACAGGUGUUUUUCUUCAUAGAUUCACACACUAAACACCUCACAAGUCAUCUGUUCUUGAUUCUCUUCUCUAAGCCAUGUUUUUCUUUAAGAUUCCUCAAAUGUGUGGAUUUUUAAUCUACACAUCUCUGGAACCUAAGAAAAAGAACGCUUAGUGAAAUUCUUCAAGACUCAUCUGGUCAAAUUCCUCUAACUUGUUCUUUUUACAAAACCUUCUAAGAACGCAUAUGACACCUCUCCAAAUUCCUCGCAACUAUACUCUGUUCACAUGUACACAUGUCAGCUGUUGAAUCACUAGGUUCUCAUCAACUUAACUCAUUUGCAGCGUUCCUCGAAGAAAAGUUGCAUACUUCUUCAGAGAACUCAAUUGUUCAAAUUCCUCAACUGAAGAAAAUGGCUGACGGUAAGAAGCCACAGAAGGGAGGAAAGAGGCCUGAGGUAAAUACAAUGUUUAAGAUCCCUGAUGAAAUAUAUGCUGGGUACUGCACACCUACUGAGGAAACCAAGAAUGAGCGCAAAGUGCGCAUUCAGAAGAUAGAGAGGAGAUGGGCUAGAGAGUGGAGGGAAUACAGAUAUGUCACUCCUAAGUACAUGAAGAAAUUCGCACUCAAUCCUCCAUGCCCAAGACCUCCAUUGGCACCUAGCCAAAUUGCUGAUCCCACCAGCCUCAAGCGCGGUGAGGACUAUCCUGAUGAAUGGGCCAAGCGCCAAGCCAAGUUGGCUAAGCAAGCCAGAUAAGCAGUGAGGAAAUUCAAUGAAGACUCUGCUGCUGCUGCCUCUACUGUCAAGCCAAAGAAGGCUAUGUCAAAGAAGCCUGCGCGCAAGCCAAGUGCUUCACCAACAAUGCCCUCAAGGCUAAGUUCCUCAGCAAUGCCCUCACGACCAGAAUCCUCAAAGCCCUCACGGUCAAUUCCUCAUGCUGCUCCUGUUCCUCCAAAGUCCUCAGCUCCUCCGCUAAAGCCCUCAGCUGUUCCGACUAAAUCCUCAGCACCUGUGCAUCUCGCCUCGUGCCAAAGGACUGCAAGCAUCUCCAUUGCCUCAGGUGUCUCAGCUAGUUCCUCAGCUGCACCAAGUUCCUCAGUUGGCCCCUCACUGCUGAAGACAAAGGCCACUGCUGGACGAGGUCCUGGCCCAAGUCCUCAAAAGAAACAAGUCGCUUUCCAAGUACCGUCUGAAGAAGACGAAGCUGAUGAUGAUGAACUUGCAGAAAUCAUCAGAGACAGGCAAGUCAGGGCCGCUAGAGCCAAAGGACCAGAGGUGCCACUGCUUUUGGAUCCCAAGUUGAUCCUUGACUACAUUGAUGUCUGGCACAAGGACCCCAACACUCCCUUGCCUGACUUCAAGCUGACUCCUGGCCAGAGUCACAUGCUGACCCACUUCAUUCAAGAAGAAAAGUGGAAAUUUGAGAAGGCCAGGCAGAUCAAGAAAGCGCAGUACAAGAAAGAGCGCUAUCUGAAGAAAAACGUUGUCUCUAUGACAACUGAAGAACUUGUCACUAUUCAGACUGAGAUUAAGAAACUCAGUGAUGAGUUUGACGCAUAUCGCGCUGAUUGGCUUGGAGCCAAGGUUCGUUUUGUGAAACUUGCAGAUAACUUCACUUCCAAUGUUGCAGCCCCAACGCAACAGGAAAUUCCUUAGGCUGAAGCAUCUGCUCAACCUACUGAAGAAAAUGCAAGCACCGCUGAUGACAAUCAGGCUGCUGAAGAAAAUGUGGGUUCCAGGGCUGAUGACUGCAUUCCAGCCACAGAAGAAAUUGCCAGGGCACCCACUAGUGGUCCGCCUGAAGAAACUGAAGAACUCAGGGCAACUGCAUCAGUUGUGCCUGAAGAAAAUCAACCAGAUUCCUCAGCUGCUCCUGCACCAACUUCAACUCCAAUCCUUCCAUCUGCAUUGGAUGUGAAGAAGACCAAGGCUGUAGAGCAUGCUGCACUGAAGAAAAGGAAAGCAUCAGCUGCUUCAGAUUCUUCAGCUCCAAAGAAAAUGAAGCCUAUGACAAGUUCAUUUGCAAAUCCGAUUGAUGCUGUUCCCAUCUCAACCAGGCCAUGAAAGGACCUUGUUCCUUUUGAUGAAGAAUAUGUGAUCCCUAGUGGAUCUGAUGAAGAGACUCCUUCUGCUGCUUCGUCUGAACCGUUGGAUGAAGAAAUUUAAGUGGAUGCGAUCCCUUCAACACCUAUCAUCUCCUCUCCUAUGCCUCAGUUCACAGCUGAAGAGGCUGGCAUUGAAGAAAUGGAAGAUGAAGAUGUGGACAUUGGCUGCUCCACACCCGUAAUCAGUGAUGAAUCUGGGAAAGUCUGCAUCCAAACUCACCAAUGUUCACCCCUCUACAACAAAUUCCUCAGUCCCCCACACAAACUGUACAUAUGGGCUCUGAAGAAACUCAUCCCACUGCAUCUGUCCAUGAGGAAAUUCCAGCUACUAGCGCUGAAGAAACUGCUGCUGCUGAACAACCAACGACACAGACUGUCACUGAGGAGGAACUAGAAAUUCCUCAGCCUGAAGAACCUGCGAUUGAGAUUCCUGAGGUCGUGAUGCAACUCACUAACACUCCUCUGCCGAAGCCAAAGGACCCAUUCUUACGCAAGCAAAAGUUCAAGGCUGAUGAUUUCUUCAACGAGCACAUAUUCUUCAAAGAUUACAACCCAUAUAACUCUGCUCGCAUUAGGAAGAGGCAUUUCUAGACAUCUAGUCAAGCCAAUUUCUAUUCCUCAGUGCUGUUCAACAAGGAGAAGAUCUUCUACCAUGAGCAUAUUCCUCACGUGGAUAUGGAAUCUCUGCCGUGCUUCGCACCAGUCCUCAGUGUUCUUCACGAUGCUGGACUGCUAAACUUUUGCUCUGACAUCUGCGAUUGGAAUGAAGAACUGAUUCUUCAAUUCUAUGCAACGCUGCACAUCACUAGAGAUGCUGAAGAUGUGAAUUCCUGGGUGUUGGACUGGAUGUCUGAAAACACUCACUACACUGCACCAACCUCUGAACUGCUUCAUGCUCUACCACUCAGUCCUCCCCUUGAAGAAGCUCGCUGCAUCUACAGUGAACCUGAGCUCACACAUCAUUACAUGCAGGUGCUGAUGAAACCUUUGAAGCCAGGUCAGGCACUAAGAACCAAAUUCCUCGUGAAGGAAUUGUUGUAUGUGCCCAGAACUGUCUAUCGUAUUCUUACAAGGACAAUCAGUCCUAUCAAAAGGCCACGACUCGUCUGAUGAGGAAAUUGUUGGCAUCAUGAAGAAUCUGGUAUUCAACAUCGUUCAUGGCAUUCCUGUCAAUUAUCACGAUUUCUUCAUGAGGACUAUGGCCAAUGUUGCACUGUCUCCGUUUGAGCUGAAGCCUUAUGCACCUUGGAUUAUGAGAUUCCUCAGGAAAAGGUCUUCACUCAACUACAAAGCUGAUUUCCAGAAUCACCUCAGCUACUUGCCCCCAAUUGAAGUCCUCAAGUAGACAUAUUCCUCAGUUGAUGGAAAGGGCAAGGCACCAGCUGUAAUAGAUGAAGGCAUUCAUCCAUUGGAUGGUCAGUUUCGCAAAGCUACAUCUUAUUCCACCAAUGAUGACUCUGCCACACAUGACUCUGCCAAUGCACCCAAGUCCACUCCUCAAGCCAUUGGUCCGCGUGUGAUGACUGACCGUGAACUUUUGCUUAGUCUUCACCAGAAGGUGGAUCGAAAUCACAAAUGGGUUAAGCGUUAGUUUGGUUCACUUCUUCACAACAUGACUGCCACACACAAUGCAAUGAAGAAAAACCACUACUACCUCCAUCAAGUCUUCGGUCGCACCUGGGCAAUCCUGUCACAUCUGUAUGGUGAAGAAGAUCUGAAGAACAUGGGUCUCAAAGAAGAUUUUGACUGGUCUGCACCUCCACCAAAGAAAUUCAAGAAGGUCAAGGUUCCUUCUCUGGUGGCCAGCUCAUAUUCUUCAUCGUGCGACACUGAUGAAAAUGAAGACUUGGACGACACUGCGGCAGGCCCUACUACAAAAAACAACCCCAACAACGCUGGCGCUCCUUCAUCGACUUGAUAUUCUUCAGGGGCGUUAGUCCUCAUAUUCGUUCCUUUUGGUCAUUUGAUGACAAAGGGGGAGAAGUUUGAGUUAGUCUUCAAGCGAGUCUUUCUAUAUGGGCAUCUUUUGUUAAGUUACAACUCUCAUUCUUCUGCGACUUUAUUGGAUCGAGUUCUAAACUUAAACCCGAUGGUGCUCUGAUACUCUUGAUACGUUUUUUUGCAUGCUUAUUCCUCGUUAAUAUUAUUGCACACAUGCUGAAUUACAUCAGUCACCAUAUUUCAUCAUGCAUUUCAAAUUCUUCACUGUUAUAUAUCAAAUGCGUGUAUGAAUUACAAGAUAUAGGGGGAGAUCUCCAUGAUUCAACUCUUCAAGUGUGCAUUGCUUCAAAAGCAAAUUCCUCACUAUGCACAUCUUCAGGGGGAGUUCUUCUAUAUCUUGCAAUCAAAUUCCUCAAUAUUAGUAGUUACACUUCAUAUGUUUAUCCCCUUUGAAAACUUAACCUAUAUUGUCAUCAAUCACCAAAAAGGGGGAGAUUGUAAGUGCAUCUAGUGCCCCUUAGUGAUUUUGGUGUAUUGAAGACUUAUAGGUUAAGGGACUAAUGUGUUUAUGAGUGUACACAGGUCUAUAAGUCUAUGAGGAGUUCGAUAUUUAUAGAGAAAGUCGAUCCCUAAAAAUGAAGUUCUUCGUCUGAAGACUUUGGUAUUCUGAAGACUUUCUGAAGACUUUGAAAGUGAAGAAAAUGGUGUGACCGUGAAGACUUGGUAUUCAUUCGAGGAACAUGAAGCGUGAAGACUUUUCUGCUCGUAGUUUCAUUUUCUCUUUCUUGAGUCAUAGGAAACACCGUACUGUUAAAGGGGGUCGUGGAAAUACUUAGGAAAAAUUUCCAUGUGAUGCUCAACUCAAAAUCCUACACCUACCAAUCCCUUCGAGUGAAGCCAUUGGAAAUCUCAUACAGUUCAGUCAAUUUCUUCAGUGACAGAGACGAAGUUCUUCUGGUCUCUAAGGAAUUUGUUCUGACUGAGGAGCUAGGAAUUCGCCAGUGCGGAUUUCCUACACAGUGAGGAACAUGAUAGCCCUGAGCAUUUUGCUACUCAAAAUUCCGACCGUUGCUGUGCUAUGCGCCAGCUGUCCCAAAAUAUCUAUCCACCUAACGGUCAUAUCAUUGAAGGGCAUUUAUGUCUUAUCAUGUUGGGCUGCUCCCUAGGCUAUAAAUAGCCGCCCCCUACAACCACUAGCUGGUCGGCUACUCCGAGAGAAACUGACACUUGUCAUUUGAGAGCAACCCAUCCUCUGAGGACUUUGAGCGAAAAUCAUCAAGUGAGGAAAACCCAAAAACCCAAAACCCAAACACCUACAAACCCCAAGUGAUUGAGCAUCACUGAAGAGAUUGAUCCUGCGUGGAUCCGACGCUUGUUACCUUUGAAGACUGUGCUUCUUCCAGACAGUUAGGCGUCAUGGUCUAGAGCAUCCAAGAGGAAUUGUGGAUCAUCGAGUGACCAAGUUUGUGAAGGUUUGGAAGUCAUCUGAAGACUUACCACGAGUGAUUGGACGAGGUCUGUGUGACCUUAGUUCAAGGAGAAUACGGUGAGGACUGGGUGUCCUGAGCUGCGUGUUCAGGACUGGGUGUCCAGGACUGUGUGUCCUCGAGUUUAAAUACUCAGCCGCUCCAACCAGACGUACAACUGAGACAGCAGUUGGAACUGGUCUACCAAAUCGUUAUCUUCACCAAGCUUGCUGGUUCUAUUCCCUCAACUCUUUCAUUUCUUCAUAACUGUGUUGUGUGUUUGUUCAUAUAUGUGUUUGAAGACUUUGAUUGAAGACUUUCUCAAUUUCCUCAGUUCAAUUUCUUUAGUCUGUUUGUCUUCAUCCUGUGUUAUCCUGUGAUUACGCUUCCUGUACUCUGUGCCUGUCUUCAUUUCAUCAUGAUGACUAUGCUUGUAUUCUGUUAUGUUUACUUUUGAGUACUUAUUCCGCUGCUAGUAGUUCUUCGCUAAGGAAUUUCCUCACCGGCAAAUUCCUCAGUGAAGAAUUUCAUAAAAAUCGCCUAUUCACCCCCUCUAGUCGAUAUAACGCACUUUCAGUCUCGAACGCUAUGCUUGAAAGCAUCCAGAUAGUCGACUAUUUGGUUCUUUUUAGUGAGAAACCUGUUCCAAAGCUUUCGGGCUGACUCUCCGGGCUGUUGAGUUAUAUGACUUAAAUCGUCUGCAUCCGGUGGUCGGACAUAGGUCCCUUGAAAAUUUGCCCGAAAAGCAUCCUUGAGUUCUUCCCAGCUUCCAAUGGAGUUUUCAGGGAGGCUUUUAAGCCAGUGCCGAGCUGGCCCUUUGAGCUUGAGGGGUAAGUACUUAAUGGCAUGGAGAUCAUCUCCUCGAGCCAUGUGGAUAUGGAGGAUGUAGUCCUCAAUCCAGACCCCAGGGUCUGUUGUUCCGUCGUACGCCUCUAUGUUUACGGGUUUGAAUCCCUCUGGAAAUUCAUGGUCUAGCACCUCAUCGGUGAAACAUAGGGGGUGUGCGGCACCCCUGUAUUUGGGUGUACCGUGGUGUUCGGAUUUUAGUUGUGUUGCAUUGCAUGCUGGAGCGCACUUGCUUGGCCCAUAGAUGGUUCUGGUUGCGCCGUCCUUUUGAUGCGAGCCCUCACGUGGGUCACGUACUGGCUUGUGUGUGGCGUCGUUUGGCACUCUAUGUUGGCCACGAGGUCGUCUAUCCAACCGGAUGGCUGUUUUGUUUUUUUGAUUGCGGGGGAUCUAAGGCCUCCUCAUCGAAUUCAGGUAGCAGCUUUCGCUUCGGGUAGCUCUUUGUGUGGCGACUACCGCCGUACUUUGCUGCAGUGUUUUGUACUUCACUCCAUCUAAUUCUGAGUGAGUCUUGUGCAGCCCUGAGCCUUUGCUUCUGCUUUUUCAGACUCGUCGCAGUGGCAACAAGCCUUUGAUUGGUAUUCUGUUGCUCCGGGUGCCUGUCCGGUGUGAUGUCGUCCGGACUGUUAUCUUCGACAGAGUCGGGUUGUUCGGCUUGAUUCUUCGUGUUGUCGUGGUCGGACGAUGGUUCAAUGCCGUGUUUGUCAUCCGCUGGCUCACCCUGGUCUAUCGCUGGGUCUAUAUGAUCACUGUUUCUACCGAGGCAGGAUUUGGAGCGCCGCUUACGCCGCCGCUUUGACUGCUUCUCGAGGGAACAACCCUUCGCUGCGUCCUUCCGUUCCUCGUCAUCGUUUUCUUUGGGUGUGUCCACCAUGUAUACAUCAUAUGAUGAAGUGGGCGUCCAGUGCCCUGUGGGCAGUGGUUCAUGUUCGUCUCCUGCAUCGUCGUCCAUACCGUCAAUGUCUUCGGAGUCGAAGUCGAGCAUGUCGGUCAAAUCGUCGACAAUGGCUACUAAGUGGGUGGUGGGUGGGUGUCAUCCACAUCCCAAUCCCGCCGGACAUAGUUCGGCCAGGACUCUCCUGACAGGGAGAGAGACCUUAAUGAGUUCUGUAUGUCGCCAAAGGGCGAGUGCUGAAAAAUAUCCGCGGAGGUGAACUCCAUGAUCGGUGCCCAGUCGGAUUUGACAGGCACGGGCGCAGGCGGUUCGGAGUCCGUGGCCGGGGAAGAAUCCGGCAGUUUGGCGUCAUGGCUCUUGUGAAGGGUAAGGUCGAUACUCGGCUCGAUCGCCGAUGAGAAUGCGGCCUCUGUGGCGGGGUCUAUCCACCCGUCCCCGGAUGGCGCAAUUGGCUCCGAAUUGAGGGUCGGAGCGGUCGCCGGUGCGAUCUCCCGAACACUGUCCGAUGGUAGAGCUAAAUCAUGCUCAUCGUGACCGUGCGGCGCACUUGGCAAGGGCUCGAAUCCGUCGAAGAUCAAGUCUCUGUGGAUGUCGGCUGUGUAGUUCAAGUUUCCAAAUCUGACCUAAUGGCCAGGGGCGUAGCUCUCGAUCUGCUCUAGAUGGCCAAGCAAGUUGGCCCGCAGUGCGAAGCCACCGAAUACAAAGAUCCGUCCGGGGAGAAAAGCCUCACCCUAGACUGCAUCGCUAUCGAUGAUUGAAGGAUCCAUCAAGCCUAACGAUGACAACACAGAGGAACUGUUAAUGAAAGCACCAAUGUCGGUGUCAAAACCGGCGGAUCUCGGGUAGGGGGUCAUGAACUAUGCGUCUAGGCGGAUGGUAACAGGAGGCAGGGGACACAAUGUUUACCCAGGUUCGGGCCCUCUUGAUGGUGGUAAAACCCUACAUCCUGCUUGAUUGUUCUUGAUAAUAUGAGUAGUACAAGAGUUGAUCUACCACGAGAUCAGAGAGGCUAAACCCUAGAAGCUAGCCUAUGGUAUGAUUGUUGUUGUCAUACGGACUAAAACCCUCCGGUUUAUAUAGACACCGGAGGGGGCUAGGGUUACACAGGGUCGGUUACAAGGAAGGAGAUCUACAUAUCCGUAUUGCCAAGCUUGCCUUCCACGCCAAGGAGAGUCCCAUCCAAACACGGGACGAAGUCUUCAAUCUUGUAUCUUCAUAGUCCAACAGUCCGGCCAAAGGAUAUAGUCCGGCUGUCCGGAUACCCCCUAAUCCAGGACUCCCUCAAUGGCCAACGAAAGUUAUCCCUACAAAAUCAUAUAGGCUGGCUAUGCUCUAUCUUCACCACACAAAAUAUUUAAAUCAUGCACAACCCCGAUGACAAGCCAAGAAAUUGUUUCAUAAUUUUGAUGUUCUCAAACUUUUUCAAUCUUCACGCAAUACAUGAGCGUGAGCCAUGGAUAUAGCACUAUGGUGGAAUAGAAUGGUGGUUGUGGAGAAGACAAAAAGGAGAAGAUAGUCUCACAUCAACUAGGCGUAUCAAUGGGCUAUGGAGAUGCCUAUCAAUAGAUAUCAAUGUGAGUGAGUAGGGAUUGCCAUGCAACGGAUGCACUAGAGCUAUAAGUAUAUGAAAGCUCAACGGUGUGCAUCCAACUUGCUUGCUCACGAAGACUCAGAGCAUUUUGAGGAAGCCCAUCAUUGGAAUAUACAAGCCAAGUUCUAUAAUGAAAAAUUCCCACUAGUAUAUGAAAAUGAUAUCAUAGGAGACUCUCUAUAUGAAGAACAUGGUGCUACUUUGAAGCACAAGUGUGGAAAAAGGAUAGUAACAUUGUCCCUUAUCUCUUUUUCUCUCAUUUUUUGGGCCUUCUUUCCUUUUCUUUUUCUUUUUUGGCCUCUUUUCUCCUUUUUUUUCGUCCGGAGUCUCAUCCCUACUUGUGGGGGAAUCAUAGUCUCCAUCAUCCUUUCCUCACUUGGGACAAUGCUCUAAUAAUGAUGAUCAUCACACUUUAUUUACUUACAACUCAAGAAUUACAACUCCAUACUUAGAACAAAAUAUGACUCUAUGUGAAUGCCUCCGGCGGUGUACAGGGAUGUGCAAUGAUGCUUGAGUGACAUGUAUGAAAAUGAUGAAUGGUGGCUUUGCCACAAAUACGAUGUCAACUACAUGAUCAUGCAAGCAAUAUGGCAAUGAUGAAGAGUGUCAUAAUAACGGAACGAUGGAAAGUUGCAUGGCAAUAUAUCUCGGAAUGGCUAUGGAAAUGCCAUAAUAGGUAGGUACUAUGGUUGUUUUGAGGAAGGUAUAUGGUGGGUUUAUGGUACCGGUGAAAGUUGCGCGAUACUAGAGAGGCUAGCAAUGGUGGAAGGGUGAGAGUGCGUAUAAUCCAUGGACUCAACAUUAGUCAUAAAGAACUCACAUACUUAUUGCAAAAAUCUACAAGUUAUCAAAGCAAAGUAUUACAUGCAUGCUCCUAGGGGGAUAGAUUGGUAGGAAAAGACCAUCGCUUGUCCCCGACCGCCACUCAUAAGGAAGACAAUCAAUAAAUAAAUCAUGCUCCGACUUCAUCACAUAACGGUUCACCAUACAUGCAUGCUAUGGGAAUCACAAACUUUAACGCAAGUAUUUCUCAAAUUCACAACUACUCAACUAGCAUGACUCUAAUAUCACCAUCUCCAUAUCUCAAAACAAUUAUCAAGUAUCAAACUUCUCAUAGUAUUCAAUGCACUUGUAUGAAAGUUUUUAUUAUUGCCAGGUUGUUCUAAAGGACUCUCAAAAUAAUAUAAUGAAGCAUGAGAGAACAAUUAUUUCUAUGAAAUAAAACCAUCGCCGUGCUCUAAAUGUAUAAGUGAAGCACUAGAGCAAAAACUAUAUAGCUCAAAAGAUAUAAGUGAAGCACAUAGAGUAUUCUAAUAAAUUCCCAAACAUGUGAGUCUCUCUCAAAAGGUGUGUAUAGCAAGGAUGAUUGUGGUAAACUAAAAAGCAAAGACUCAAAUCAUACAAGACGCUCCAAGCAAAACACAUAUCAUGUGGUGAAUAAAAAUAUAGCUCCAAGUAAAGUUACCGAUAGACGAAGACGAAAGAGGAGAUGCCUUCCGGGGCAUCCCCAAGCUUAGGAUUUUUGGUGUCCUUGAAUUUCACCUUGGGGUGCCAUGGGAAUCCCUAAGCUUAGGCUCUUGCCACUCCUUGUUCCAUAAUCCAUCAAAUCUUUACCCAAAACUUGAAAACUUCACAACACAAAACUCAAAAUAGAAAAUCUCGUGAGCUCCGUUAGUGAAAGAAAACAAAACAACACUUCAAGGUACUGUAAUGAACUCAUUAUUGAUUUAUAUUGGUGUUAAACCUACUGUAUUCCAACUUCUCUAUGGUUUAUAAACUCUUUUACUAGCCAUAGAUUCAUCAAAAUAAGCAAACAACACAUGAAAAACAGAAUCUGUCAAAAACAGAAUAGUCUCUAGUAAUCUGUAGCUAACGCAAAUUUCUGGAACCUCAAAAAUUCUAAAAUAAAUUGCUUGACAUGAGGAAUUUAUGUAUUAAUCAUAUGCAAAAAGAAUUAACUAAAUAUCACUUUCCAAAUAAAAAUGGCAGCAAUUCUCGUGAGCGCUAAAGUUUCUGUUCUUUACAGCAAGAUCACAAAGACUUUUCCCAAGUCUUCCCAACGGUUCUACUUGGCUCGAACACUAAUUAAACAAAAAAAACAC